rnacentral:lncRNA from 1 species
UUUUUUUUUGUUCCAUGCUAUUAUAUUAUCUGUUUUGGAUGUUUAUGGGCUUUAUUAAACACUUUUAUAUUAUUUUUGGGACUAACCUAUUAACCCAGAGCCCAGUGCCACUUUCUGUUUUUCCCUUGUUUCAGUGUUUCGCAGAAAAGGAAUAUCAAACGGAGUCCAAACGGAGUGAAACCUUCAGGAGAGUUAUUUUUGGAACGGAAGCAAUCCAGAAGACUUGGAGUGUAUGUAAGGGAAGCAACGAGGAAGGCACGAGGCAGGGGGUGCGCCCACCCCCCUGGGCGCGCCCUCCACCCUCGUGGGGCCCUCGUGGCUCCCCUGACCGACUUCUUUCGCCUAUAUAUAUGGAUAUACCCUAAAACCAUCGGGGAACAGAAUAGAUCGGGAGUUCCGCUGCCGCAAGCCUCUGUAGCCACCAAAAACCAAUCAGGACCCUGUUUCGGCACCCUGCCGGAGGGGGGAACCCUCACCGGUGGCCAUCUUCAUCAUCCCGGUGCUCUCCAUGACGAGGAGGGAGUAGUUCACCCUCGGGGCUGAGGGUAUGUACCAGUAGCUAUGUGUUUGAUCUCUCUCUCUCUCUCUCGUGUUCUUGAGGUGAUAUGAUGUUGAUGUAUCAUGAGCUUUGCUAUUAUAGUUGGAUCUUAUGAUGUUUCUCCCCCUCUACUCUCUUGUAAUGGAUUGAGUUUUCCCUUUGAAGUUAUCUUAUUGGAUUGAGUCUUUAAGGAUUUGAGAACACUUGAUGUAUGUCUUGCGUGGGAUACCCGUGGUGACAAUGGGGUAUUCUAUUGAUCCACUUGAUGUAUGUUUUGGUGAUCAACUUGCGGGUUCCGCCCAUGAACCUAUGCAUAGGGGUUGGCACACGUUUUCGUCUUGACUCUCCGGUAGAAACUUUGGGGCACUCUUUGAAGUUCUUUGUGUUGGUUUGAAUAGAUGAAUCAGAGAUUGUGUGAUGCAUAUUGUAUAAUCAUACCCACGGAUACUUGAGGUGACAUUGCAGUAUCUAGGUGACAUUAGGGUUUUGGUUGAUUUGUUUCUUACGGUGUUAUUUUAGUACGAACUCUAUGAUAGAUCGAAUGGAAAGAAUAGCUUCGUGUUAUUUUACUACGGACUCUUGAAUAGAUCGAUCCGAAAGAAUAACUUUGAGGUGGUUUCGUACCCUACCAUAAUCUCUUCGUUUGUUCUCCGCUAUUAGUGACUUUGGAGUGACUCUUUGUUGCAUGUUGAGGGAUAGUUAUAUGAUCCAAUUAUGUUAUUAUUGUUGAGAGAACUUGCACUAGUGGAAGUAUGAACCCUAGGCCUUGUUUCCUAGCAUUGCAAUACCGUUUACGCUCACUUUUAUUGCUUGUUACCUUGCUGUUUUUAUAUUUUCAGAUUACAAAAUCCUAUAUCUACCAUCUAUAUUGCACUUGUAUCACCAUCUCUUCGCCGAACUAGUGCACCUAUACAAUUUACCAUUGUAUUGGGUGUGUUGGGGACACAAGAGACUCUUUGUUAUUUGGUUGCAGGGUUUCUUGAGAGAGACCAUAUUCAUCCUACACCUCCCACGGAUUGAUAAACCUUAGGUCAUCCACUUGAGGGAAAUUUUCGACUGUCCUACAAACCUCUGCACUUGGAGGCCCAACAACGGCUACAAGAAGAAGGUUGUCUAGUAGACAUCAAGCUCUUUUCUGGCGCUGUUGCCGGGGAGGUGAGUGCUUGAAGGUAUAUCUUUAGAUCUCGCAAUCGAAUCUUUUUAUUUCUUAUUUUAGCACUAGUUUAGUUUAUAAAAGAAAACUACAAAAAAAUGGAAUUAAGGGUGCCUCAUAUGCUUCAUCUUUUUAAUUUUUUUGUGAAAAUGAUGGGAAGGAAAAUUGUGCUCAAGUACUAGAAGAAGAAUUACAUAGAAUGCUUGGCAUAAAAUAUGUGAAUGAUGAGCAUGACUGCAAUGUUGUUAGUAUGAAUUCUUUGAAUACCCAUGAUGCGAAGGGUGACGGGGAUUGUUCGUAGGGCAGUGGGCGGCAUAUGGCUUUGAUUAGCGAAAAGCUGGCAUCCAACGCAGCGCUGUAUGAGGUCAUGUGUAUCUACUCGGGCCGUGGGCCAAAAUAAACACGUAUGGAAGGCCUUGCUUACAAGGGCCCGAGCUGCGGGGUGAUGGCCGCCAAGACCAGCGUGUAUUUCAGCCAAGAGUUGUUGUCCCUCUUCUUCGGAGAUGCAUCUUUGAAGGACUCUGGUAGUACUUUUCUUGUACAGUUCUCCUUCAUGAACCUUGUAGGCCUUCGAGCGACGAACGAUACAACAGGCCUUAAUAUGAUCCUCGGGGAGCUCAUUCCUAGUCAGGUAGGCAAGGAAAGGCUCAGUCCAUGGGGCAAUUACAGCCAUGAUUUCAUGGGCCGAUGGUGUUAUUUCGGUGCCCGAGCCCCCGAUGAUAUCAGAACUGUGUUCGGAAUCUGGGGGUAUGAUCGGCUCCGGACUAGUGUUGCCGCUCUCGUCCUGCCACACCACGGAUGGCUUGAAGAGCCUUUCCACAAAGGUGUUGGGUGGGACGGGGUCGCGUUUAGCGCCCAUGCAAGCAAGGAUGUCUGCGGCUUGAUUACUCUCUCGAGCCACGUGAUGAAACUCGAGCCCCUCAAACCGAGAUGAUAUUUUGAGUACGGCAUUGCGGUAAGCCGCCAUCUUCGGGUCUUUUGCGUCGAAUCUCCGUUUAUUUGGGAUAUUGCAAGGUUUGAAUCCCCGCGCACCUCAAGGUGUUGUAUGCCCAUGGAGACAGCCAUCCGGAGACCAUGCAACAGGGCCUCGUAUUCGGCUGCAUUGUUAGAGUCUGUAUACAGUAUUUGGAGCACAUAACGGACUGUAUCUCCUGUGGGGGAUGUCAAAAGGACACCAGCCCCAAGUCCGGCUAGCAUUUUGGAGCCAUCGAAGUGCAUCACCCAGUUGGAAUACGUGUCGUACUCUUUAGGGAGUUCGGCCUCUGUCCAUUCGGCGACGAAGUCAGCCAACACCUGAGAUUUAAUGGCUCAGCGUGGUUUGUACGUUAUUUCAAAUGGUAAGAGCUCAAUGGCCCAUUUGGCAAUCCGACUGGUGGCGUCCCAGUUGUUUAUAAUAUCAUUGAGUGGUACUUCUGAGGCCACCGUACUUGAGCAUUCUUGAAAGUAGUGUUGCAGUUUGCGGGAUGUCAUAAAGACCGCAUAUGCUAUCUUCUGAUAAUGCGGGUAUCGGGAUUUGCAUGGUGUAAGGACCGUCGAUACGUAGUAUACUGGUUUUUGGAGUGGGAACUUAUGCCCCUCUUCCUCUUGUUCAACGACGAGCACCGCACUCACCACCUGGUGGGUUGCAGAUAUGUAGAGCAACAUUGGUUUGCCGACGUUUGGUGCGGCCAGGAUGGGGUUGCUUGCUAGCAAAGUUUUUAUUUCCUCCAGUCCGGCUAUUGCAGCGUCCGUCCAUGCAAAGUGGUCGGCGCGUCGGAGCAGGCGGUACAAUGGCAAUGCCUUUUCUCCUAGUCUAGAGAUAAAGCGGCUCAAAGCUGCCACGCACCCAACUAGUUUUUGGACCUGCUCGAGGUCAGUUGGUGUUGCCAAUUGUGACAGGGCUCGGAUUUUGGCUGGGUUUGCUUCAAUUCCUCUAUUGGAGACAAUAAACCCGAGCAGUUUGCCAGCGAGAACGCCGAAAACCCACUUUUCUGGAUUGAGCCUUAUGUCAUAUGUUCGAAGGUUGUUGAAUGUAAGGCGUAAGUCAUCCACCAAUGAUUCAGCAUGCUUGGUUUUGAUGACUACGUCAUCUACAUAUGCCUCCACAGUCUUGCCAAUUUGCUUUUCCAGGCAUGUUUGAAUCAUGCGUUGGUAAGUGGCGCCGGCGUUCUUGAGCCCGAAAGGCAUAGUGUUGAAGCAGAAAGGCCCAUACGGGGUGAUGAAUGCCGUUGCGGCUUGGUCGGAUUCCUUCAUCUUAAUUUGAUGGUAUCUGGAGUAUGCGUCGAGGAAACACAGUGAAUCGUGUCCCGCAGUUGCAUCAAUAAUCUGGUCGAUGCGAGGUAGUGGGAAGGGGUCCUUAGGGCAGGCCUAGUUAAGGUCUUCGAAAUCAACACACAGGCGCCAGGAUUUAUCCUUCUUUGGUACCAUGACCAGGUUUGCUAGCUCCUCCCCCAUAGCCUGUCGUUUGGGUUUGGAAAAUCGCCGGAGCGUUUGCUUGAAUGGCUUGUAUCCCUUCAGUAUAUUGAGACUAUGUUCGGCCAGCGCACGUGGGAUUCCUGGCAUAUCCGAGGGGUUCCAGGCGAAGAUGUCCCAGUUCUCGCACAAGAACGCGCGUAAUGCGGCUUCGACCGUCGGGUCCAGUUGUGCCCCAAUGGAAGCUGUUUUCUUAGGAUCCGUCGGGUGGACUUGAAAUUUAACUAUUUCGUCAGCUGGCUUGAAAGAGGUGGAUUUAGGACUUUUGUCAAGAAUUACGUCGUCCCUCUCCACUGUGGAACGCAGAGCGGUGAGUUCCUCAACUUCUAGGGCUUCGGACAAUGCCUCAAGGGCCAGGGAUGUGGUUUUAUUUUUGGUGCAGAGUGCUAUGUACGGAUCACUGGAGAUAGUGAUAACACCAUUGGGCCCGGGCAUUUUGAGCUUCAUAUACCCAUAAUGAGGUAUAGCUUGAAAGCGUGUGAAUGCAUCUCGCCCUAACAGAGCAUGAUAUCCGCUGUUGAAAGGAGCCACCUGGAAGAUUAUCUCUUCGGACCUAUAGUUUUCUGGUGUGCCGAAUACCACAUCCAGUUUAAUUUCCCCUGAGCAUCUCGCUUCCCUGCUGGGAAUGAUUCCCCUAAAGGAUGUAUUGCUCUGCUCAAUGCAACUCCUGUCCAUUUGAAUUUUAUUGAGCAUGUCCUCAAAGAUGAGGUUUAGUCCGCUGCCACCGUCCAUUAACACUUUAGUGAGCCGAAAGCCGUCCAUGAUUGGGUUUAGGACCAAACCGGCUGGUGCCCGGACUGAGCGGGACCUUGGUUCAUCAUCGGCAUUGAAAUUAAUCGCCGUAUCGUUCCAAGGGUUUAUUGUAGUUAUUUGGCAGACUUCGGCGAGGUCACGGAGCGCCCUUUUGCGCCGAUUAUUUGAUGAGAAGGUCUCGAAGACCGUGAAUACUUUGAAAUCGUCGUCCUCCGAAGAGUACUUCUCUGGGGUAGUGUUGGUGAGGAUACCCUUGCCGCUCUUGGCCACCUGCCGGAGUAUCCAACAUGCCCGUAGGCUGUGCGUUGGUUUGGUAUUCGGCGUCAUGUGUAUUUGACAGGGCCUAUCGAGCCAUUCCUCGAAGACAAUUCUAUGUCCCGUAAAGGGCUUGAUUUUCUUGUCCACGGGAUGAUGAUCAGGUGCCCCGCGAGGGCGCAUCCUUUUUGCCCGCCCGGGAGAUGGCUUAAAGGCCUGCGGUUCCCAGCAGGCUAUUGAUAACCCACAAGUAUAGGGGAUCGCAACAGUUUUCGACGGUAGAGUAUUCAACCCAAAUUUAUUGAUUCGACACAAGGGGAGCCAAAGAAUAUUCUCAAGUAUUAGCAGUUGAGUUGUCAAUUCAACCACACCUGGAUAACUUAGUAUCUGCAGCAAAGUAUUUAGUAGCAAAGUAAUAUGGAAGUAACGGUAACGGUAGCAAAAGUAAUAUUUUUGGGUUUUGUAAUGAUUGUAACAGUAGCAACGGAAAAGUAAAUAAGCGAAGAACAAUAUGUGAAAAGUUCGUAGGCAUUGGAUCGGUGAUGGAGAAUUAUGCCGGAUGCGGUUCAUCAUGUAACAAUCAUAACACAGGGUGACACAGAACUAGCUCCAAUUCGUCAAUGUAAUGUAGGCAUGUAUUCCGAAUAUAGUCAUACAUGCUUAUGGAAAAGAACUUGCAUCACAUCUUUUGUCCUACCCUCCCAUAGUGGCGGGGUCCUAACAAAAACUAAGGGAUAUUAAGGCCUCCUUUUAAUAGAGUACCGGACCAAAGCAUUAACACAUAGUGAAUACAUGAACUCCUCAAACUACGGUCAUCACCGGGAGUGGUCCCGAUUAUUGUCACUUCGGGGUUGCCGGAUCAUAACACAUAGUAGGUAACUAUAGACUUGCAAGAUAGGAUCAACAACUCACAUAUAUUCAUGAAAACAUAAUAGGUUCAGAUCUGAAAUCAUGGCACUCGGGCCCUAGUGACAAGCAUUAAGCAUAGCAAAGUCAUAGCAACAUCAAUCUUAGAACAUAGUGGAUACUAGGGAUCAAACCCUAACAAAUCUAACUCGAUUACAUGAUAAAUCUCAUCCAACCCAUCACCGUCCAGCAAGCCUACGAUGGAAUUACUCACGCACGGCGGUGAGCAUCAUGAAAUUGGUGAUGGAGGAUGGUUGAUGAUGACGAUGGCGACGGAUUCCCCUGUCCGGAGCCCCGAACGGACUCCAGAUCAGCCCUCCCGAGAGAGUUUAGGGCUUGGCAGCGGCUCCGUAUCGUAAAAUGCGAUGAAUCUUUCCCUCUGAUUUUUUUCUCCCCGAACACGAAUAUAUAGAGUUGGAGUUGAGGUCGUGUCACGCCCAAUAUGCGACCCUAUCCUAAAGGAACACGAAGGUCCCACCAAGGAUUGAAGCGCAUCUUGAAGACGCUUUUGCAAGGUGGAUAUCAUUACAUCAACAUUACAUAAUAUUUGGGAAUACAUACAAGGCAUACAAAUGCCGCAAGAAUACAUCAAUACAUCAUACAUAAGCUCAACAUCCGACUAUGGAUGAAACAUAAACAGAAACUCGAACGACAUCCACCCUGCUAGCCCAGGCUGCCGACCUGGAACCUAUCCCCUGAUCGAAGAAGAAGCAGAAGAAGAACUCCAAAACAGGUAAACAUCGCUCUCGCGUCAUGAUCAUCGCAUAACCUGUACCUGCAACUGGUGUUGUAGUAAUCUGUGAGCCACGAGGACUCAGCGAUCCCAUUACCAUGGGUAUCAAGACUAGCAAAGCUUAAAGGGAAAGGAAUGGAUAAGGUGGUGAGGUUGCAGCAGCGACUAAGCAUGUAUGGUGGCUAACUUACGCAAACAAGAGCGAGAAGAGAAGCAAUGGAACGGUCGUCAACUAGUAAUGAUCAAGAAGUGAUCCUGAACUCCUACUUAUGUCAAACAUAACCCAGAAACCGUGUUCACUUCCCGGACUCCGCCGAGAAGAGACCAUCACGGCUACACACGCGGUUGAUGCGUUUUAAUUAAGGUCCAGUGUCAAGUUCUCUACAACCGGAUAUUAACAAAUUCCCAUCUGCCACAUAACCGCGGGCACGGCUUUCGAAAGAUAAUACCCUGAAGGGGUGUCCCAACUUAGCCCAUUAUAAGCUCUCACGGUCAACGAAGGAUAUUCCUUCUCCCGGGAAGACCCGAUCAGUCUCGGAAUCCCGGUUACAAGACAUUUCGACGAUGGUAAAACAAAACCAGCAAAGCCGCCCGAAUGUGCCGACAAAUCCCGAUAGGAGCUGCACAUAUCUCGUUCUCAGGGCACACCGGAUUGUCCAAGCUUCCGGUAGGCCAGACCAGAGUUGCCCAUGGUGGCCACUGGCGACUGACAGGUUGGACCAACACUCGAAGGAGCACUGGCCCGGGGGGUAAAUAAAGAUGACCCUCGAGAGCGCGACUGACAAGGGAAAAAGGCUAGGUGAGGCAAAUGUAAAACCAAGGUUGGGCCUUGCUGGAAGAGUUUUAUUCAAAGCGAACUGUCAAGGGGGUCCCAUAAAUCACCCAACCACGUGAGGGACGCAAAAUCAAGGAACAUAACACCGGUAUGACGGAAACUAGGGCGGCAAGAGUGGAACAAAACACCAGGCAUAAGGCCGAGCCUUCCACCCUUUACCAAGUAUAUAGAUGCAUUAAUAAUAUAAGAGAUAUUGUGAUAGCCCAACAUAAACAUAAUCUAAAAUGGAGCAAUCUUCAUCUUCACCUGCAGCUAGCAACGCUGUAAGAGGGGCUGAGCAAAGCGGUAACAUAGCCAAACAACGGUUUUCUAAGAAGGGUGACAAAGGUUAGAGGUUCAUGGCAAUUGGGAGGCUUGAAGAGCAAGUGAUAGGUAGCGCAGCAUAGCGAUAGAACGAAGCAACUAGCAUAGCAAUGAUAGUAAUGAGAUCCAAGGUGACGGUCAUCUUGCAUGAAAUCCUGCUGGGAAGAAGAACGAAUCCAUGAAGAAGAUGAAGCCACGAAGACGAACGAAUCCUCACGAUCGCAACGACACGGGAACUAUCGAGAAGAAGCACACAACAAGGUAAACACACCACACAUGAACAAGGCAUGAUGCUCAACCAAGUAUGAUGCAUGGCAAGGCUAUAUGAAGCUACACACGGCAAGAGAUGAUGCAUACAAGAACAACACAUCAAGGCAAGUUUAAAUGAGGCCGGAAACAACAUAUACCAAUUCCGGUAAGUCCUCAUAUGCAAAUUUCGAAAUUGGUCCAGAACUGAACAAACAUUAAGUUGAAGUUGUUAAACAGCAAGUUAAAGAGCACCAUGAUGAUCUACACGAAAUUCUAGUCAAGUUACAUAUAAAGUUCAUUAGAUUCGGAGCUACGGCCUAGAAGAUAAGAGCAAAACAAGUUAAACAUGGCAUUGAUGCAAAAUGCAUUCAAACAUCAAGCAAACACCUCAAAACAAGGAUGCAACAUGAUAAUAUGAAACUACAUGCAAAACUAAGCAAAUUUCAUAUAGAGCAUGCUCGAAACGGAGCAACGGUGCAACACAUACACUCCAAACAAGACAUAGCAACAAUCUGUCCAAAACAGCAACUAGGCAUAAUGCAAACAUCAAAACAAUAUGCUACAGCAACUCAUCAUGAAAACAAAAGGCAUGGGCAUGAUGUACAGGUAAGGCACAACAAAACAUGAACAGUGAGCUAUCUCCAGAAAUCACUAGAACAUACUCAAAAGGACAUGUCAAGAUUGCAAAUAAUAACAGGUUCACAGACUGCAGAAUUACUGGACAUGGCAGAAAUAACAUCAGGUUGCUAUGUUUAGAGCUAUCAAGCAACAAGCUUCAGGAACAGAUCAUAGCAAACAAAGGCAUGGCAUGAAUCUACUCAAAGCAUAUAACAAAUGUCCCUUAGUGAACAUGAGACAAAAAAGCACAGAAUAUAUGAUGGCACCCAUGUAAACAUAGCAAGUUUCGUUAUCAGGUUCCAGACUUGGCAGAAAACAGAGCAUGGCAGAAACAGACAUUAUGAAGGCAUCUUUGAGAGCUUGAUGCACUCAUCACAAAGCAAUGCAUGACAAAACAAGCAUACCUACAGGAAGAUGGUAUGUUUAUAAAGAUAUCCAUGGCAAGAGCAAAUACAUAGCAUGUAUGAAACAACUACAACAAGCUUGGCAAAAUUGAAUAACACGUAAACAAUCUGCCAGGAACAUUUUAUAGCAAAAGUAGAGCAAGAUUGAGUCAUGCUAUGGCACUCCAUAAUUGCAAACAAGGACAUGGAUGGAUCAAUUACAACAAUAUCUACAAAAUAUCCUUACUGAACAUCUCCAAAAUAAGUAUGGAUCUCUCUGUAGACACAUGUAUACAAGGCAACAAAAUAACAGCAGUCGCCGACGGUAAAAUUUUAAGUCUCAGAAAUCAGAAACAUCACGAAGCCUAGUUUGCAUGCUUGUGCUAGUCACCACAGAGAUCACACAAAUACAUGACAUACACCUCUGUAAAGAUAGCAUGGCAUACAACAAAACACAUGUAGAGCUCAUACUCAUAAGAUGCACAGAUUAAAUGCAACAAAAAUAACAAUUCACCAAGUUCUGAUAAGUAACAGCAGAUAACAGCAACUAGCACUCUUGCAAUGAUGAUUUGGGCAUCAAGAUGGACUCAAAUGAACAUGGCACAAUGGAAUGAAAUGAAGAGCAUCAUGAGAAGAACAAUUAGAUAUAUUGCACGCACGAAACGGAGUAGCAUGCAUGGAGUUAUGGCAUGACAAAGUGGGCACUAGAAUGUAAAAUUCCCAGGACAGAAGAAUUUGAGGGGGGAAGUCAACCUGCGGGAUCAGAUCUGGGCGCGAGAACCGAGGCGGGGCCGGCUCGCCGGAGACGAAGCGGCGGCAGCCGGAGCGGAGAGGGGGCGAUGGCCGGCGGGCGGGAUCCGGAGGCGGGCGCGGGAUCCGCGGCCGGCGGCGGACGGCGCGGCGGGAUCCGGGCGGAUCCGGGGAGCNNNNNNNNNNNNNNNNNNNNNNNNNNNNNNNNNNNNNNNNNNNNNNNNNNNNNNNNNNNNNNNNNNNNNNNNNNNNNNNNNNNNNNNNNNNNNNNNNNNNNNNNNNNNNNNNNNNNNNNNNNNNNNNNNNNNNNNNNNNNNNNNNNNNNNNNNNNNNNNNNNNNNNNNNNNNNNNNNNNNNNNNNNNNNNNNNNNNNNNNNNNNNNNNNNNNNNNNNNNNNNNNNNNNNNNNNNNNNNNNNNNNNNNNNNNNNNNNNNNNNNNNNNNNNNNNNNNNNNNNNNNNNNNNNNNNNNNNNNNNNNNNNNNNNNNNNNNNNNNNNNNNNNNNNNNNNNNNNNNNNNNNNNNNNNNNNNNNNNNNNNNNNNNNNNNNNNNNNNNNNNNNNNNNNNNNNNNNNNNNNNNNNNNNNNNNNNNNNNNNNNNNNNNNNNNNNNNNNNNNNNNNNNNNNNNNNNNNNNNNNNNNNNNNNNNNNNNNNNNNNNNNNNNNNNNNNNNNNNNNNNNNNNNNNNNNNNNNNNNNNNNNNNNNNNNNNNNNCCCGCGGCGGCGCUUGCCACGCGGCGGCUCCUGAUUAGCGCGGGGGCGGCGGCUAAGGGCGGCGGACAUGUCCGGGCGGCGGGGAUUUCGUCCGGUGGCGCGAGGAGGGGGAAGGCUAGGGUUUAGACUGCAAAAAAAAGGGAGGGGGGUGUUUAUAUAGGUAGAUGGAGCUAGGAGAGUCCAAAUGAGGUGCGGUUUUCGCCCACACGAUCGUGAUCGAACGACCGAGAUAAUGGAGGGGGUUUUGCUGGGUUAUUGGGCCACUUUGGAGGGGUGUUGGGCUGCACACAAAAGAGGCCUUUGCGGUUCCCCGGUUAACCGUUGGAGUAUCAAACGACCUCCAAAUGGCACGAAACUUGACAGGCGGUCUACCGAUGGUGUAACAAGGCCGCUUGGCAAACCUCGGGCCAUUCUGAGAAAGUUUAACACCCACACAUGAAAAGAGGCAAAAGGGGCGCCGGAGGACAUAGGAGUGCCGGAUUACAAAACGGACAACGGGGAAAAUACUCGGAUGCAUGAGACGAACACGAAUGCAAAUGCGAUGCACAUGAUGACAUGAUAUGAAAUGCAGAUGAUGACAUGGCAAAGUGCGACACGCAAGCAAAUGACAAGGCAGGGACGGCGAAUAACUGGCAGACACCUGGCGCAUCGGAUCUGGGGCGUUACAGGUCGGUGGAGCUCCAAGGGGCCCACGAGGUAAGGGGCGCGCCCCCCACCCUCGUGGAAAGGGUGUGGGCCCCCUGGCCUUGAUUCUUUCACCGUUAUUUUUUAUUAUUUCCAAAAAUAAUCUCCGUGAAGUUUCAGGUCAUUCCGAGAACUUUUGUUUCUGCACAAAAAUAACACCAUGGCAAUUCUGCUGAAAACAGCGUCAGUCCAGGUUAGUUCCAUUCAAAUCAUGCAAGUUAGAGUCCAAAACAAGGGCAAAAGUGUUUGGAAAAGUAGAUACGACGGACACGUAUCAACUCCCCCAAGCUUAAACCUUUGCUUGUCCUCAAGCAAUUCAGUUGAUAAACUGAAAGUGAUAAAGAAAAACUUUUACAAACUCUGUUUGCUCUUGUUGUUGUAAAUAUGUAAAGCCAUUAUUCAAGUUUUCAGCAAAGAUUAUGACUAACCAUAUUCACAAUAACAUUUAGGUCUCAUGUUUACUCAUGUCAAUGGCAUAAUCAACUAGCGAGCAAUAAUAAUAAAUCUCGGAUGAGAACACUUUCUCAAAACAAUCAUGAUAUGAUAUAACAAGAUGGUAUCUCGCUAGCCCUUUCUGAGACCGCAAAACAUAAAUCCAGAGCACCUUUGAAGAUCAAGGACUGACUAAACAUUGUAAUUCAUGGUAAAACAGAUCCAGUCAUAGUCAUACCCAAUAUAAAUUAAUAGUAAUGGAUGCAAAUGACAGUGGUGCUCUCCAGCUGGUGCUUUUUAAUAAGAGGGUGAUGACUCAACAUAAAAGUAAAUAGAUAGGCCCUUCGCAGAGGGAAGCAGGGAUUUGUAGAGGUGCCAGAGCUCGAUUUUGAAAUAGAGAUAAAUAAUAUUUUGAGCGGUAUACUUUCAUUGUCAACAUAACAACCGAGAGAUGGCGAUAUCUUUCAUGCUACACACAUUAUAGGCGGUUCCCAAACAGAAUGGUAAAGAUUAUACUCCCCCUCCACCAACAAGCAUCAAUCCAUGGCUUGCUCAAAACAACGAGUGCCUCCAACUAACAAGAGUCUCGGGGGAGUUUUGUUUGCAAUUAUUUUGAUUUGAUUUGCAUAAAGCAUGGGACUGGGCAUCCCGGUGACCAGCCAUUUUCUCGUGAGUGAGGAGCGGAGUCCACUCCACUUGAGAAUAACCCGCCUAGCAUGGAAGAUAUAGACAGCCCUAGUUGAUACAUGAGCUAUUUGAGCAUACAAAACAGAAUUUCAUUUGAAGGUUUAGAGUUUGGCACAUACAAAUUUACUUGGAACGGCAGGUAGAUACCGCAUAUAGGAAGGUAUGGUGGAAUCAUAUGGAAUAACUUUGGGGUUUAUGGGAGUGGAUGCACAAGCAGUAUUCCCGCUUAGUACAAGUGAAGGCUAGCAAAAGACUGGGAAGCGACCAACUAGAGAGCGACAACAGUCAUAAAGAUGCAUUAAAAUUAAUGAACAUUGAGUGCAAGUAUGAGCAGGAUAUAAUCCACCAUGAACAUAAGUAACAUGGAGGCUAUGUUGAUUUUGUUCCAACUACAUGCGUGAACAUGUGCCAAGUCAAGUCACUUGAAUCAUUCAAAGGAGGAUAUCACCCUAUCAUACCACAUCACAACCAUUAUAAUAGCAUGUUGGCACGCAAGAUAAACCAUUAUAAACUCCUAGCUAAUUAAGCAUGGCAUAAGAAACUAUAAUCUCUAAUUGUCAUUGCAAACAUGUUUACUCAUAAUAUGCUGAAUCAAGAACGAUGAACUAAUCAUAUUUACAAAAACAAGAGAGGUCGAGUUCAUACCAGCUUCUCUCAUCUCAUUCAGUCCAUCAUAUAUCGUCAUUAUUGCCUUUCACUAGAAUGACCGAACGAUGUGUAUAAUAAUAAUAGUGCACGUGCAUUGGACUAAGCUGGAAUUCCCCCAAGCUUAGGCUUUUGGUUGUCCUUGUUCCGAAAUCCAUCAAAUCUUUACCCAAGGACUUGAAAACUUCACAACACAAAACUUCAACAGAAAAUCUUAUGAGCACCGUUAGUAUAAGAAAAUAAACCACCACUUUAAGGUACUGUAAUUAACUCAUUAUUUAUUUAUAUGGGUGUUAAACCUACUGUAUUCCAACUUCUCUAUGGUUCAUACCCCCCGAUACUAGCCACAGAUUCAUCAAAAUAAGCAAACAACACACGAAAAACAGAAUCUGUCAAAAACAGAACAGUCUGUAGUAAUCUGUAUCAAAUGCAAACUUCUGGAACUCCAAAAAUUCUACCAAAAUAGGACGACCUAGAUAAUUUUGUUAUUGAUCUACUGCAAUUGGAAUCAGUAUUUUAUCACUUUCUAGUGAUUUUUAACAAUUGUUUUCGUGAUCAGAAAGUUUCUGUCUUUUUCAGCAAGAUCAAAUAAUUAUCACCCAAGAAGAUCCUAUAGGUUUUACUUGGCACAAACACUAAUUAAAACAUAAAGCAAAAUCUAACCAGAGGCUAGAUUAAUUAUUUAUUACUAAACAGGAGCAAAAAGCAAGGAACAAAAAUAAAAUUGGGUUGCCUCCCUACAAGCGCUAUCAUUUAACGCCCCUAGCUAGGCAUUAUUUUUGCUUUAUUUAUUCUAAAUAACAGAAAGUUAAAGGAGGGUACAGAGAGUUGUGCUUUCUAACUUCAUCCAUCUCAUGCUCAUCAAAAGGAAUCCACUAACAAGGUUGAUCAAGUCUUGUUAACAAACUCAUUCCGAAUCGCAUGAAACCGGAGAAUUUUCGAAUAGCACUAGGUUACCUCAACGGGGAUAUGCACGUCCCCAAUAAUAAGAAUCUCAUAUUUCUUCUUGACAGUAGGAAGAGGAAAUUCAAAACCUCCAAUAAUAAUCGAUGGAAUUUUUCCAAUAGAGUUUAUACUAUGAACUUGAGGUUGUUUCCUCGGAAAGUGUACCGUAUGCUCAUUACCAUUAACAUGAAAAGUGACAUUGCCUUUGUUGCAAUCAAUAACAGCCCCUGCAGUAUUCAAAAAGGGUCUUCCAAGAAUAAUAGACAUACUAUCGUCCUCGGGAAUAUCAAGAAUAACAAAGUCCGUUAAAAUAGUAACGUUUGCAACCACAACAGGCACAUCCUCACAAAUACCGACAGAUAUAGCAGUUGAUUUAUCGGUCAUUUGCAAAGAUAUUUCAGUAGGUGUCAACUUAUUCAAAUCAAGUCUACGAUAUAAAGAGAGAGGCAUAACACUAACACCGGCUCCAAGAUCACAUAAAGCAGUUCUAACAUAAAUUUUUUUAAUGGAGCAUGGUAUAGUGGGUACUCCUGGAUCUCCAAGUUUCUUAGGUAUUCCACCCUUAAAAGUAUAAUUAGCAAGCAUGGUGGAAAUUUCAGCUUCCGGUAUCUUUCUCUCAUUAAUAACAAUUUCUUUCAUAUACUUAGCAUAGGGAUUCAUUUUGAGCAUAUAAGUUAAUCGCAUACGCAAAAACAUAGGUCUAAUCAUUUCAGCAAAGCGCUCAAAAUCCUCAUCGUCCUUUUUCUUGGAUGGUUUGGGAGGAAAAGGCAUGGGUUUCUGAACCCAUGGCUCUCUUUCUUUGCCGUGCUUCCUAGCAACAAAGUCUCUCUUAUCAUAACGUUGAUUCUUUGAUUGUGGGUUAUCAAGAUCAAUAGCAGGUUCAAUCUCUACAUCAUUAUCAUUGCUAGGUUGAGCAUCUACAUGAACAUCAUCAUUAACAUUAUCACUAGGUUCAUGUUCAUCACCAGAUUGUGUUUCAGCAUCAGAAAUAGAAAUAUCAUUGGGAUUCUCAGGUGUGUCUAUAACAGGUUCACUAGAAGCAUGCAAAGUCCUAUCAUUUUUCUUUUUCUUCUUUUUAGAAGGACUAGGUGCAUCUACAUUAGUUCUUUGAGAAUCCUGCUCAAUUCUCUUAGGGUGACCUUCAGGAUACAAAGGUUCAUGAGUCACUUUACCUCCUCUAGUUGCAACUCUAACAGCAAAGUCCUUAUUCUUACUAUUCAAUUCAUUAAGCAAAUCAUUCUGAGCUUUAAGUACUUGUUCUACUUGAGUGGUGACCAUAGAAGCAUGGUUACUAAUGAGUUUAAGUUCACCUUUUAACUCUAGACAUAUAAUCACUCAAGUGUUCAAUCAUAUAAGCAUUUUGUUUCAAUUGUCUACCGAAAUAAGCAUUAAAAUCUUCUUUCUUAACCAUAAAGUUAUCAAACUCAUCCAAACAUUGGCUAGCAAACUUAGUGGGAGGGAUUUCAGCUUUAUGAUAUCUAUAGAGAGAAUUUACCUUUACUACCUGUGUCGGGUUAUCAAGACCGUGUACUUCUUCAAUAGGUGAUGAAUUAAGACCAUAUAUUUCUUCAACAUGCGGUAAAUUAAGACCAUGUAUUUCUUCAAUAGGAGGUAAAUUCUUAACAUCUUCGGCUUUAAUACCUUUUUAUUUCAUAGAUUUCUUUGCCUCUUGCAUAUCUUCAGGACUAAGAAAUAGAACACCCCUUUUCUUCGGGGUUGGCUUAGAGUUGGUUCAGGAAGUGUCCAAUUGUUUUCAUUAGUCAACAUAUUAUUCAAUAGAAUUUCAGCUUGAUCAACUGUUCUUUCCCUGAAAACACAACCAGCACAACUAUCCAGGUGGUCUCUGGAAGCAUCGGUUAGUCCAUUAUAAAAGAUAUCAAGUAUUUCAUUUUUCUUGAGAGGAUGAUCAGGCAAAGCAUUGAGUAAUUGGAGAAGCCUCUCCCAAGCUUGUGGGAGACUCUCUUCUUCAAUUUGCACAAAAUUGUAUAUUUCCCUUAAAGCAGCUUGUUUCUUAUGAGCUGGGAAAUAUUUAGCAGAGAAGUAAUAAAUCAUAUCCUGGGGACUACGCACACAACCAGGAUAUAGUAGUAACGAGUUUUCUCAUCAUUAGUGAAUAGGGUGGCUAUAUCAUUUAAUUUAGUAAGAUGUGCCACAACAGUUUCAGAUUCAUAGCCAUAAAAAGGAUCAGAUUCAACCAAAGUAAUUAUCUCAGGAUCAAUAGAGAAUUCAUAAUCCUUAUCAGUAACAAAGAUAGGUGAAGUAGCAUAAGCAGGAUCAUAUUUCAUUCUAGCAUUCAGAGUUUUUUCUUUAAGCUUAGCUAAUAAUUUCUUAAGAUCACUUCUAUCAUUGCAAGCAAGAAAGUCUCUAGCAGUUUCUUCAUCCAUAACAUAACCCUUAGGCACAAUAGGCAAUUCAUAUCUAGGGGGAGAAUCUUCAUCAUCACUUUUAUCAAUAUUAUCAAUUUCAUUCUCUCUAGCCCUAGCAAGUUGUUCAUCAAGAAAUUCACCAAGUGGCACAGUAGUAUCAAGCAUAGAACUAGUUUCAUCAUAAGUAUCAUGCAUAGCAGAAGUGGCAUCAUCAAUAACAUGCGACGUAUCAGAAUUAAUAGCAGAAGCAGGUUUAGGUGUCGCAAGCUUACUCAAAACAGAAGGUGAAUCAAGUGCAGAGCUAGAUGGCAGUUCCUUACCUCCCCUUGUAGUUGAGGGAUAAAUUUUAGUUUUCUCGUCUUUCAAGUUCUUCAUAGUGACCAGCAGAUAUAAAUCCCAAGUAACUCAAAGAAUAGAGCUAUGCUCCCCGGCAACGGCGCCAGAAAGUAGUCUUGAUAACCCACAAGUAUAGGGAUCGCAACAGUUUUCGACGGUAGAGUAUUCAACCCAAAUUUAUUGAUUCGACACAAGGGGAGCCAAAGAAUAUUCUCAAGUAUUAGCAGUUGAGUUGUCAAUUCAACCACACCUGGAUAACUUAGUAUCUACAGCAAAGUAUUUAGUAGCAAAGUAAUAUGGAAAUAAUGGUAACGGCAACAAAAGUAAUAUUUUGGGGUUUUGUAAUGAUUCUAACAGUAGCAACGGAAAAGUAAAUAAGCGAAGAACAAUAUGUGAAAAGCUCGUAGGCAUUGGAUCGGUGAUGGAGAAUUAUGCCGGAUGCGGUUCAUCAUGUAACAAUCAUAACAUAGGGUGACACAGAACUAGCUCCAAUUCGUCAAUGUAAUGUAGGCAUGUAUUCCGAAUAUAGUCAUACGUGCUUAUGGAAAAGAACUCGCAUGACAUCUUUUGUCCUACCCUCCCGUGGCAGUGGGGUCCUAACGAAAACUAAGGAAUAUUAAGGCCUCCUUUUAAUAGAGUACUGGACCAAAGCAUUAACACAUAGUGAAUACAUGAACUCCUCAAACUACGGUCAUCACCGGGAGUGGUCCCGAUUAUUGUCACUUCGGGGUUGUCGGAUCAUAACACAUAGUAGGUGACUAUAGACUUGCAAGAUAGGAUCAAGAACUCACAUAUAUUCAUGAAAACAUAAUAGGUUCAGAUCUGAAAUCAUGGCACUUGGGCCCUAGUGACAAGCAUUAAGCAUAGCAAAGUCAUAGCAACAUCAAUCUCAAAACAUAGUGGAUACUAGGGAUCAAACCCUAACAAAUCUAACUCGAUUACAUGAUAAAUCUCAUCCAACCCAUCACCGUCCAGCAAGCCUACGUUGGAAUUACUCACACACGGCGGUGAGCAUCAUGAAAUUGGUGAUGGAGGAUGGUUGAUGAUGACGAUGGCGGCGGAUUCCCCUCUCCGGAGCCCCGAACGGACUCCAGAUCAGCCCUCCCGAGAGAGUUUAGGGCUUGGCGGCGGCUCCGUAUCGUAAAACGCGAUGAAUCUUUCUCUCUGAUUUUUUUUCUCCCCGAACACGAAUAUAUAGAGUUGGAGUUGAGGUCGGUGGAGCUCCAAGGGGCCCACGAGGCAGGGGGCGCGCCCAGGGGGGCAGGCACGUCCCCCACCCUCGUGGAAAGGGUGUGGGCCCCCUGGCCUUGAUUCUUUCGCUAGUAUUUUUAUUAUUUCCAAAAAUAAUCUCCGUGAAGUUUCAGGUCAUUCCGAGAACUUUUGUUUCUGCACAAAAAUAAGACCAUGCCAAUUCUGCUGAAAACAGCGUCAGUCCGGGUUAGUUCCAUUCAAAUCAUGCAAGUUAGAGUCCAAAACAAGGGCAAAAGUGUUUGGAAAAGUAGAUACGACGGAGACGUAUCUGCUGUCUGAGUUUUCCAGGCGCUUUCCAUUGUGCAGUACUUUUGUACUAUGUGUGCCAAAUCUGCGAAGUGCAGUACGCGACGGCGAUUGAGGGCAUUAAGGAUUCCCUCCUUCGUAUAGUUGUUGCGAAAUACUGAAAUUGCGUCAUUGUCGCAGCAGUCUUUUAUCUUGUUUUUAACAAGAAGGAAUCUAGCCCAAAAGUGAUGGACUGUCUCCCGAGGCUGCUGCCACACAUACAUUAGGUCGCAUAUGUCCGGAGGGCUGGAAUUGCUUGGAGAAUAUUGCUUGUGGUGGGUGGGUGGGCUUGAAUUCGCACCCUGACCCACUGUGGAAUCCGGAGUUUGAAGAAAUUCCGAGGUUGCCAGCCUAGGCUCCGGAGUGCCCGACGAAUUCUCAGGCUUAACGUCCGAUUUUGUGUUCGGAGGACAGGGAUUGUCCUCUCGAGGAUGGGUAUCCGGCUCUCCGGGUUCGGAAAUCUGAACGUAGUUUGUUCUCAGCGUAGGAGAAGAGUUAUUGUCAGCUUGUUCUUCCACAACCGCUACCUGGUGGGUGAUCAGUGGAGAUUUAAUUUCUCUCUGGUCGGGUUUAAGCCCGAUCUGAUCAUAGUCAGUUGAGACCCCCAGGGCGGUGAUGCGAUCUAGCAGCUUGUUCAAAGACGAUAGAUCUGCCGGAUCCAUCUUGUCGGAGUAUUCGGGGCUGAUACAGAGGGGGUUUUCGGCGACUUGGGGGUUGCCUUCGGCUUAAUGGCCGAACGGGCACCCAUGGUGAAGCCGCCAAGCCGGAGGGUUUGCCAUGAAACUAGGGCCCCUCCGGAAGUGAUACUGUCCUUGAUGACAAGGCGAGCCAUCAAUCCUUCUAUCGACGCCAUAGUGGAACUCUCAAUGAAAGCACCAAUGUCGGUGUCAAAACCGGCAGAUCUCGGGUAGGGGGUCCCGAACUGUGCGUCUAAGGAUCAAAGGUAACAAGAGGCAGGGACGCGGUGUUUACCCAGGUUCGGGCCCUUUCGAUGGAGGUAAUACCCUACUUCCUGCUUGAUUGACUUUGAAGAAUAUAGGGGUUACAAGAGUUGAUCUACCUCGAGAUCGUAAUGGCUAAACCCUAGAUGUCUAGCCUGUCUGAUUAUGAUUGCCUCUACGGACUAAACCUCCGGUUUAUAUAGACAUCGGAGGGGGCUAGGGUUGUACAGAGUCGGUUUACAGAGAAAGGAAUCUUCAUAUCCGCACGCUAAGCUUGCCUUCCAUGCCAAGGAGAGUCCCAUCCGGAUGCGGGGGAAAGUCUUUCGUCUUGUAUCUUCACGGCCCAUCAGUCCGGCCCACGUCAAAUAGCCCGGACACCCGAGGACCCCGUAAUCCAUGACUCCCUCAAUCAUGGUCGUUACUCGUUUUCCCUUGCAAAGGAUACUCCGAAACCAUGAGGCUACCGGCAUAAUAGUGGAGUGGGCUUUGGAGUUAUCCAGCUUUGGUUUGAAGUUUGAAAGCACAUCAACUAUUCAGAGUAGGGCGUUGGCAGAGUUUAUUGCAGAAUGGACACCAACCCCUGAUGAGGAAGUGACAGAGACAGCUAUCCCCGGCAAGGAAUCACCCCAAGAAUGGAUUAUGUAUUUUGAUGGUGCCUUAUCCUGCAAGGUGCAGGAGCUGGCAUGCUUCUUGUUGCCCCCUCCGGGGAGCUCUUGAAGUACGUCGUCCAAAUGCAUUUUGCUUGGGAAGAAGCUACCAACAAUACAGCUGAGUAUGAAGGACUCCUUGCCGGGCUCAGGAUUGCAGCUGAAUUGGAAAUCAAGAAGCUGAUCGUUCGAGGAGAUUCACAGCUUGUGGUGAGACAAGUCAACAAGUAUUAACCAAGUCCAUUCAUGGAGGCAUACAUCGAGGAAGUGAGGAGAUUGAAGGAGCACUUUGACAGAUUGCAAACAGAGCACGUACCCCGUGCGGAAAACAGCAUAGCUCAUCAUCUGUCAAAGUGUGCUGCGCAGAAGCUUCCUGUGGAACCAGGGACUUUUGUUCUCCAUCUCACUCAGCCCUCCGUAUCCCCAGCAACAAUGGCCCGGAAGAGGAGACAGUUGGACUACGGUAAGCCUCUCCCAGUAGAGCCGUCCGCUCCCGGCAGAUACCCUGCCGGAAACAACUCCUCACAGCCUGCCGGACCUCCCCCUCCAGCCGGGUCCAUGAACCCCACGAACGAGGCUGUUACUCCCGCAGUAGAGGAGGUGCCGCUAGUCCUCGUUGCCGAGCCCCGGGCUCCAACUUGGGCAAGACACAUCAUCCACUUCCUCCAAACCGGAGAGCUUCCCGGUGACCAAGAUGAAGCUGAAAAAGUGGUUGGAAAUAUGCCCUAGAGGCAAUAAUAAAAUAGUUAUUAUUAUAUUUCCUUGUUCAUGAUAAUUGUCUAUUGUUCAUGCUAUAAUUGUAUUAACCGGAAACCGUAAUACAUGUGUGAAUACAUAGACCACAACAUGUCCCUAGUGAGCCUCUAGUUGACUAGCUCGUUGAUCAAUAGAUGGUUGUGGUUUCUUGACCAUGGACAUUGGAUGUCGUUGAUAAUGGGAUCACAUCAUUAGGAGAAUGAUGUGAUGGACAAGACCCAAUCCUAAGCAUAGCACAAGAUCGCGUAGUUCGUUUGCUAGAGCUUUUCUAAUGUCAAGUAUCAUUUCCUUAGACCAUGAGAUUGUGCAACUCCCGGAUACCGUAGGAAUGCUUUGGGUGUAUCAAACGUCACAACGUAACUGGGUUGCUAUAAAGGUGCACUACAGGUAUCUCCGAAAGUGUAUGUUGGGUUGGCACGAAUCGAGACUGGGAUUUGUCACUCCGUAUGACGGAGAGGUAUCUCUGGGCCCACUCGGUAAUGCAUCAUCAUAAUGAGCUCAAUGUGACUAAGGAGUUAGCCACGGGAUCAUGCGUUACGGAACGAGUAAAGAGACUUGCCGGUAACGAGAUUGAACAAAGGGAAUUGUAUACAGGAUUGAUUGAAUCCCCGACAUCGUGGUUCAUCCGAUGAGAUCAUCUUGGAACAUGUGGGAGCCAAUAUGGGUAUCCAGAUCCCGCUAUUGGUUAUUGGCCGGAGAGGCAUCUCGGUCAUGUCUACAUGGCUCCCGAACCCGUAGGGUCUACACACUUAAGGUUCGGUGAUGCUAGAGUUGUAAUGGGAAUUUUAUGUGGUUACCGAAAGUUGUUCGGAGUCUCGUAUGAUAUCCCGGAUGUCACAAGGAGUUCCGGAAUGGUCCGGAGGUAAAUAUUUAUAUAUGGGAAGUCCUAUUUUGGCCACCGGAAAAUGCUCGGGAUUUUUUUAUAUUGUACAGGGAUGGUUCUAGAAGGUUCCGGAGUGGGGCCCACCUGCAUGGCGGACCCACAUGAACAUGGGUAGUGGGGGCAAGGCCCCACACCCUGGUCAAGGCGCACCAAGAUCCCCCCCUUAGAAGGAAUAAGAUCAUAUCUCGAAGGGAUAAGAUCAAGAUCCCUAAAAAGGGGGGAUAACAAUCGGUGGGGAAGGGAAAUGAUGGGAUUUCUUUCCUCCCACCUUUGCCAACGCCCCAAUGGACUUGGAGGGAAAGAAACCAGUCCCCUCCACCCCUAUAUAUAGUUGGGAGGUGCAUGGGAGCUGACCCCUGGCGCAGCCCUCCCCCUCCAACUCCUCCUCCGUUGAGCGUAGCGAAGCUCUACCGGAGAACCAUGAGCUCCACCACCAUGCCGUCGUGCUGCCAGAGUUUUCCCUCAACUUCUCCUCUCCCCUUGCUGGAUCAAGAAGGAGGAGACGUCCCCGGGCUGUACGUGUGUUGAACGCGGAGGCGCCGUCCGUUCAGCGCUUGGAUCGGAUCUUCCGCGAUUUGAAUCACCACGAGUACGACUCCAUCAAUCGCGUUCUUGUGACGCUUCCGCUUAGCGAUCCUCAAGGGUAUGAAGAUGCACUCCCUCUCUCUUAUUGCUAGCUUCUCCUAGAUUGAUCUUGGUGAUACGUAGGAAUUUUUUUGAAUUAUUACUACAUUCCCCAACAAAAGUAGCCCGGAGGGCUAGUAUCUAUCAAUUUGUCGAUGACACUCUGUACAGAAGGAGGCCCAACCUUGUGAAAUUGAAGUGUGUCUGCCGGGAAGAAGGGAAGGAACUGUUGGCUGAGAUUCACAGAGGAAUGUGCGGCUCCCACAUUGUAUUAAGGGCGUUAGUUGGGAAAGCAUUCCAACAAGGAUUCUAUUGGCCCACAGCCCUCCAAGAUGCGGUUGGGCUAGUCACGACAUGUGAAGCCUGCUAGUUCCAUUCCAAGAAAACACACCUGCCUGCCCAAGCUCUUCAAAAAUCCCUCUAUCAUGGCCAUUUUCGGUCUGGGGGCUCGAUAUCCUCGGCCCCUUCCCCCGAGCAAUCGGGAGCUUUGAAUUCUUGUUCAUUGCCAUCGAAAAGUUUACAAAGUGGCCGGAAGUGACUGCCAUGAGAAAGGUGACUGCUCAGUCAGCUAUCAAGUUCUUGAAAGAAUUGGUGUAUCAUUUUGGAGUUCCGGCAAGGAACAUCACCGACAACGGCACCCAGUUCACGAGUUGCGCCUUCAUGCAAUAUGUUCAUGCCCUUGGAUGCAAGAUCUCAUUCGCCUCUGUGGCACACCCCUGGAGCAAUGGACAAGCUGAGAGGGCAAACGUUGAAGUGUUGCGUGGACUCAAGACGAGAACUUUUGAUACGCUGCAGAAGCACGGCAGGCAGUGGAUCGAGGAGCUGCCAGUAGUUCUCUGGUCCCUUAGAAUGACACGAAACCGAGCUACCGGGCAGACUCCCUUCUCCCUGGUCUAUGGGGCAGAAGCAGUUAUCCCCACGGAACUCAUUUACUGGUCGCCUCGAGUUCUUGCCUAUGAUGAAGUAGUGCAAGAUCAGCACCAUCAUGACGACGUUGUGCUACCCGAGGAGAACCGUCUCCGGGCUGCUACGCAUGUUGCACGCUACCGGCAAGCCCUGCAUCGCUGUCAUAGCCGCAGGGUUCAUGCCCGGUGUUUUGAGGAAGGUGACCUUGUCCUUAGGCGCGUUUAGUCCGCCAAGGGUACACACAAGUUGUCACCGAAGUGGGAAGGCCAUUACCGGGUAGUACGAGUCACCAGACCUGGCGCAGUCCGCCUGGAGACCGUAGAUGGCACUCAAUUGCAAAACUCAUGGACUAUUGAGCAUCUCCGCAAGUUCUACCCAUAAGGCGCGGCUGUCAGGCCCUGCCCGGCAGCCACCCUUUUGUGCAGGCCUUGCCUCAGUUGCAUGUAAUCCCUUGUACAAAGCUGGGGCGAUGACCCCUUGCAAGAGAAAAUAAAGAAGCACUAUGGGGGGACCCCAGACCAAGAUUGCAUGCAUGCAUGAGCACACCAAGAUAACUGCAUAAGCAUUUCAUGAGCAUUUGCAUAUAUAUAUAGAUAUGAUCGCAUCUUGCAUUCAUUCUCAUCUACAUGAAGCUGCAGGUUCCUACCAUGAACUUGGCUUCGACAAGGAGUUGAGAAGAUUGCCUGGCACAGCGAUCCCCGGCAAGCCAAACAGAUAAGUUUUACCUCCCGUCCAUUAGUGUUCUGUAAGGCUACAACUUGAGCAUGAGAAAGCCUUGCCACUCUUUUGAGACUUAGGUGCUCCCAUCCAUGACUCAAACGUUGCUUCGGUCAGAAUGGUCGUAGUAGCCUUUGGAAAAAAGAAGUUGGCCGGGGGUUGGUCCCUCUGUCUGUUCCCCGGCAGACGCAGCUCUCCGACAGACAAAAAGGCGCCGGCAGGAUAGCCUACCGGGGAAAACACGUUUAUUUACAUUAAAGAGGCAUCUCACCUCUGCAUGGACAUUCACAUGCACGAGUUCCCGACAAGGUUUAUCUUUUUCAUUCAUAUGUUAAUACAAGUACAAGCAUUACAGAACACAAACAUGGACUCGAGAGAUUACAUUAUUUGGAUUAAAAUUUGGCGAUUGCCUACAGAUUUAAGAUUUAAAAAAGAUAAGUGCUCUGUAAUGCCCUUUCUUAUCCCUCUCCUCCUAGGCACAGCCGUCUAAGGCGAGGAGGGCAAAAGGAGCACCUGGGCGGGAGCCCAACCCACUCCCAUCGGGCUCCAGGAGAGGUAGCCCAGCGGGAACGGGAGCGCGAGGGAACACCUCGAUGGAGAGGACGGCGGAGGGCGGCCCCGUCAACCACCGUCACCAGGACCAGCAAAACUCGACAGGGCUAACGGAGCUGCAACCCGAGAGGAAGCCUGACGGGGUCCAGCUGGAAGACUGCUAGAGGAGCCCGGGAACACAAUCUGCACCUCUGCAUCCAACCCCUGGCAAAUCGCAUUGCCGGGGAAGAGACGCGGAUGCAGAAGAUGGUGCUGCCGCCUGAUGAAGAUGGUGCGGGCGGCGGUCAGCCGGAGUCAGAGUCGUCGCUCCCCCGCCCGCUGCCAUCAUCAUCGCCAUCACUGUCCUCCUUGUCGCUUUCGCUCAAGGAGGAGCUUUCCUCGUCGGUGGAGCUCUCCACGCAGGACCCUAAACGACCUCCCGAGCGCCCGAAGAUCUUGACGGAGAGCGGGCCGUUCUCCAUUAAUUUGAACUGGAGAACGUGCCCCUCCGAGAAGCCAUGGGGGCGGGCAAAGGUCUUCCAGCCACGGCGAAGAUACAUCACAUGAGGGGCAGGGAAGUCGACGUCCACCCUCAUACCUCCAUUCCCACAGCCCCUCAUGUGCAGCCGCGGAGUGCGUGGUUGCUCGAUUUCCAUCUCCCGCGCGAAGGGAGUUGGGAGGCGAAGAUGACCACACAAGGGCUUGUACAGCCUGAUGAUGAACUCCCGAGGUUGGUCACCGAUGUGGCCUUCCAUCGGGGAAGGAACCACCGGCGGAGGCGCCACCAAGGCACCGCCCCGCCCUCUUCCUCCCCGAGCACCGUGGUGACCGCGACCUCGUCCCCUUCCUCCUCCCCCCGUGGCCGGUUCCGCCACCUCAGGAUCCAGGGGAGGAGGAAUGUGUUGUCGAGCAGAAGCUCUCGUCGCCGCCGCUGAAACACCACCGCGCCCUCGCCCUCUCACCAUGGCUAGAAGAGAAGGGUUGCGGAGAAGAAGAAGGAGAAGAGUGUGUGGAGAAGCACCACUCCUGCCCCUUUUUAUAGGGAAACGGGGCAGGGGCUGGCUCCUCAUACGGGAAACGGCCGCCCACGCUCCUCCAAUAUGGCCUCUCUGCACCCUCUGUGACUCUGAGAGUCGAGGCCGACCCUCCGCUCCAACCAUCGGCGCUCGGUUUUCAGCCAUGGCACUCCUCCCCGUGCCCUCCGCAUCCACCACCUACCACGCCCAAUGCAUGCGGGACACAUGGCAGGUACGUGCGAAACAGGAGGCAAGGGGGAUGGCAGUUUCCGCCCCACGAUCAAAGUUCCUCCACAAUGUUGCGCACGACGAGCGGGGAAACCGGAAACUGGCCCGAAAUCAAGGCUAACGAAGAAGCAAAAGAGACCUCAAGAGACUAGCCUCUUCAGCAACCCUGCCUGUGCACUUAUUUGGCCCUACCCCGACGACGCUCAGCAGCGCAUCCGGGGCAAGCCCAGGGGCUUCUGUGGGUGCAACAAACCCUGGUUCUGUUGCCCAGACUGUGCACAGGCACGAGAACAAGAUUGAAGCACCAUCCCAAGUCAGAGUGCAAGGACCCAAGAGAUUCGAAGGACCAGCAUACAGACCAGAGGGACCAAGAUCGAGCCAGAGAAGCAGGAUAUCACUAAGAGAAAAGCCUCCCUUGCCGGGCAGGCGAGCCCGGCAAGGGGCAAAGCCGCCCCCAGAAGCACGCGACCAAAGCGCCCCGGCAGGGCCUCCCGGGGCUCACGGAGGCAAAACCACCUCACCGACCACUCAACCAUGACCCACGUUGUCGAUCAAUGCAGUGUCAAGCCGCAAAGUUACUGAGUGGCAGUCAUUCGCCACAUGGCUGCCUCUCCUUACAGGGAAAACCCACAAACGACACCUGUCCUGCGAUGUGUCAUGCAAGCAGGUGCGGAGCUGGAAAGAUAGCCCGACAAGCCUUGCCGGGCAACCAGUGAUGUGACACUAAGCGGUGCAUUUAAUGCGCCCUGUCAGCCCAGAGUUAGGUAUGAUAGCACUGUUUGCUAUCAUAUGAGUGCAUAAUGGCUACUUUGUCAUUGUGGUGACCCCUUGAUCUAAAAAAGGAGGCCUGUGGCAACCGUAGAAAGGGUUCGAAGGUUGGAUAACUCAUCCCCAUAUGCGCGUAGUCGCUGCUUCCCCAAGGCAACCCCUGUCGGGCAAGUGUACUAUGCUCCACCACCACCUUUUCCGCCAUCAAUCCACCAAAGCAGGAGUAGGGUUUUAUGCCUCGUGGUGGCCCGAACCUGGGUAAAUUGCUUGUGUGAUCCCUGCCGCGCUGCCCCCACGCUCGUCUGCUCUUUUUGCAACGCGUCGCCCCCUGCCGAACCAGCAAGGGGCCUCCUGGUCCCAUAGGUGGCCGUGGUUUCCCGCGACACUCAAAGAGGGUAGUUUGUUUUUAGAUUUCUAGCUAGUUGGUCUAUCGCACACGAUUCAUCCUAAUUUUCAGACGCGGACGUGGAAUUCAUCCUAAAUAUCCUGUACCUCCAGCCUUGCUCGCGCUUGCGCAGUCAUGGUGAUUUUACAGUGCAGUAGCAUCGCACACUGUUAAGCCAGUGCACCCGUGUCCGUUGUGCGUCAUCCAAGUCUUCAUAUAUAGCACCAUUUGGCAGCAAAAAAUACAUGAGAGAGGGUCAGAAGACAACUAGAACAACAUGUGGUCCAGAUAUAUAUGAAUGAAAAGGGUGGUGUGUGAUGUUCAAAUUCCCAAUGCACAACUUUGAUCGCGCGGGUCCACGGGUGGGCGCGUCGUUGAAGAUCGGUGAGAGGGGCCAGAAGACAACAACCACCUGGAAGUAGCCAAAUAUAUGUAGGAAUAAAGGGCAUGAUGUUUAAAUACACAAUGCACAACUUUGGUGGCACCUGCCUCGCAAACCGAAAAGCCCCCCUUGGAUAUAUCUAUAAUGACAGGCUAAGGUCAUAGCUAGGGUGCUUGCCCCACCCCCACUUUGUGUCGGCGGGACACAUGCACGUACUCAUACUUUGGCCAUACAUGCAUGUCGCCAGGACCUACCAUAAGAUGGAAAAGUGAAUCUAUCGCUUGGUCAAACGACCACUGUUGUUGUCGAUCAAAAAGGGAUAGAAUACACCGCUUGGGCCAAUAGAUUGGACCAUCAUCAAAAACCACACGAGAGGGGCCACAAAACCAGCACCGCCUGGAUGCGACCCAAAAUGAUGUACGUUGGAAGGGGUGGUGUGUUUUAAAUACCAAAUAAUAUACAAUUUUGAUGUGGCACCUACCUCUCAAUACAGACAACCCCAAUGAAAUCUAGGUAAUUAAGGACGACAUACAUAGGGUGUCGGUCCAACCCACCAAUUCGAGCGUGUGGGAGGGAGUCCUGAGAACGCAUGAGCUCGAACUUUGUUCGAACAUGUCACCGUGACCUGACCUAACACGAACUAGGAGGAAUCAUUCAUGGCCAAACCCCCUGUUAUCGGUCAAAGGGAUGAUAUAUAUAGACCCUAGGGAGCCCAUAGAUAUGUGUGCCAUCUAAAACAACACAAGGGAGACAGGGUCGAUCAGAAGACCCCCUAUACCCUACAUGCGGCUGAAAAAUAUGUAUGGGUGGUGUGUGAUGUGUUCAAAUCCCCAAUGCACAACUUUGAUGGGACACCAACUACAUUACAACCCGAACAUCGUACCCCCAAAGCCAGGCUCAAGACGUACCAUGCCAGUUCCCCAACUUUGAGGCGGGGGGAGGGGGUAUCAAACACAUGUGCUCAAACUUAAUUUGGUCUAACAUGGCACAUAGAGCAAGAGGAAACUGUCAUGGUCAAACCCUUCUCCUAUGUUGGGUCAAAGGGUUAGAUAAGGAACCCGUCAUGGUCAAACCAUUCUCGUACGUUGGGUCAAAGGGAUAGAUUGUGUGGGCCCACAGAUCUCGAUCAUUAUAUUCUCUGUUUUCUGAAAACAAGAAAUAACAAAAAAAACAUCAUUCUACAAAUUACCAAAACAAGGAUCGCAAGGUUUAUAUAAUCGACAUGACAGGUCACUACAAACUCAUUUAGAGUCUAAAUGUCCAUAAUGACCGUAUCAUGGCGCUUAAAUGAAGCUUGAGAUAUGCAAAUUCCCACCCGGUCACCCAUCCUUAGACUCCUCUAGCCCAGCAUGCUUAACUUUUGCAUUCUAUUCGACUUGGCUAGCGGAUGGGAAGCCGCCCCUUGCUGAUAAGAGUUGACUCCUCGCCUUUAAGGCGUUUCACGCUAGUCACCUUGUGGAACCUACUCCCUGCUAUCACACACGUUUGUGAUUUUAGAAAUUGCAUGCAAUCUUUACAUACCGGACCACUUCCAUACAAACUUACAUCAUUUUUUACAUAAAACUAGCCGGAAGAAGCAAAAGCUUUGCCUUUUCAUUAAUUAAGAACAAUAUAGUUGCCUAGUUAAUUGCGGAAAACCGCAUCUGAUGCGCGGCGAUGUUCUCCUGCUCUUGCGCGGCACCUCUUUGACACUCUUGCUCUGGUCUGCUCCAUGGGCGGCGACAAACCCAUGUGUAGACAUUGGCCCGCUCAAGGACUAGGGCGCAUUGAUACCAUCAUGCUUGGCGGCGCGCUACCGCUCUUGCUCGACAGUGCAUGACCGUUCUUGCUCUUCGGCCUACUUCGGCUCGUUCUCUUCGUUGAGGAGGUUGAUGACAACGGCGGCGCUUCGCUGGAUUGGCGUGCUUGGAAUGAUAUACCGCGGUACGGUCGGUGUGUCACUGAUACGUCCAUUUUGCAUCAUGUUUUCCUAUUGUUAUUUAUGAUGUUUUAUGAAUAGUAAUGCUUUUUGGAGUAAUUCUAAUGCCUUUUCUCUCAAAAUAUGCAAGGUACACACAAAGAGGGAGAAUUCCGGCAGCUGGAAAUCUGGACCAGGAAAAGCUACGUCAGGCCACCUAUUCUACACAACUCCAAACAAGCUGAAACUUUACGGAGAUUUUUUUAUGGAAUAUAUGAGGAAUAUUGGAGCCAAUAAGUACCAGAGGGGGCCCCACCAGGUGGGCACAACCCACCUGGGUGUGCCAGGAAGCCCAGGCACGCCCUGGUGGGUUGUGCUCCCCUCGGCCCACCUCCGGUGCCUAUCUUCUGGUAAAUAAGUCAUUUUGACCUAGAAAAAAUGAGAUGAGGACUUUCAUGACUGAGCGGCGCCGUCUCGAGGCAGAAAUUGGGCAGGAGGACUUUUGCCCUCGGCGGAGCGAUUCCGCCGGGGGAACUUCCCUCCCGGAGGGGGAAAUCAUUGUCAUCAUCAUCACCAACAACUCUCCCAUCUUGGGGAGGGCAAUCUCCAUCAACAUCUUCAACAACACCAUCUCAUCUCAAACCCUAGUUCAUCUCUUGUAUUCAAUCUUUGUACUGGAACUAUAGAUUGGUGCUUGUGGGUGACUAGUAGUGUUAAUUACAUCUUGUAGUUGAUUACUAUAUGGUUUAUUUGGUGGAAGAUUAUAUGUUCAGAUCCAAUAUGCUAUUUAAUACCCCUCUGAUCUUGAGCAUGAUUAUCAUUUGUGAGUAGUUACUUUUGUUCUUGAGGUCAUGGGAGAAAUCAUGUUGCAAGUAAUCAUGUGAACUUGAUGUGUGUUCGAUAUUUUGAUAGUAUGUAUGUUGUGAUUCCCUUAGUGGUGUCAUGUCAACGUCGACUACAUGACACUUCACCAUAGUUGGGCCUAAGGGAAUGCAUUGUGGAGUAGUUAUUAGAUGAUGGGUUGCGAGAGUGACAGAAGCUUAAACCCUAGUUUAUGCGCUAUUCCGUAAGGGGCCGAUUGGAUCCAAAAGUUUGAUGCUAUGGUUAGAAUUUAUUCUUAAUACUUUUCUCGUAGUUGCGGAUGCUUGCCAGAGGGUUAAUCAUAAGUAGGAGGUUUGUUCAAGUAAGAACAGCACCUAAACACCGGUCCACCCACAUAUCAAAUUAUCAAAGUAGCGAACACGAAUCGAACCAACUAGAUGAAAUUCCUGUGUACCCUCAAGAAUGCUUUGCUUACUAUAAGAGACCGUUUUGGCCUGUCCUUUGCCUCAAAAGGAUUGGGCUACCUUGCUGCACUUUUGUUACUAUUAUCGUUACUUGCUCAUUACAAAUCAUCUUGCUAUCAAACUACUUUGUUACAUACAAUUUCAGCACUUGCAGACAUUACCUUGCUGAAAACCACUUGUCAUUUCCUUCUGCUCCUCGUUGGGUUCGACACUCUUACUUAUCAAAAAGAGCUACAAUUGAUCCCAUAUACUUGUGGGUCAUCAAGGCUAUUUUCUGGCACUGUUGCCAGGGAGUGAAGCGCCUUUGGUAAGUGGAUUUUGGUAAGGAAACAUUUAUAUAGUGUGCUGAAAUUUACAGUUACUUGUUACUAUGGAAAACAAUCCUUUGAGGGGUUUGUUUGGGGUAUCUUCACCUCAACCAGAACCACAAUUAGCUACCCCUCAACCUACUGCACCUACUGAAAAUAUUGAAUAUGAAAUUCCUUCAGGUAUGAUAGAACAACUGCUAGCUAAUCCUUAUACAGGAGAUGGAACCAAACAUCCUGAUAUGCACUUGAUAUAUGUGGAACAAAUUUGUGGAUUGUUUAAGCUUGUAGGUUUACCUGGAGAUGAACUUAAUAAGAAGGUUUUCCCUUUAUCUUUGAAGGAAAAAUCAUUGGCAUGGUAUAGGCUAUGCGAUGAUAUUUGAUCUUGGAAUUGUAAUCGAUUGAAAUUGGAGUUCCACCAAAAGUUUUAUCCCAUGCAUCUAGUUCAUUGUGAUCAGAAUUAUAUAUAUAAUUUUUGGCCUCGUGAAGGAGAAAGUAUUGCUCUAGUUUGGGGGAGGCUUAAGUCAAUGUUAUAUUCAUGCCCCAAUCAUGAGCUCUCAAGAGAAAUUAUUAUCCAGAAUUUUUAUGCUCGGCUUUCUCAGAAUGAUCGAUCCAUGCUUGAUACUUCUUGUGCUGGUUCUUUUAUAAAGAAGACUAUUGAAUUCCGGUGGGAUCUUUUGGAAAGAAUUAAGCGCAACUCUGAAGAAUGCGAACUCGACGAAGGUAAAGAGUCAGGUAUUAAGCUUAAGUAUGAUUGUGUUGAAUCUUUUAUGAAUACCGAUGCUUUUCAAAAGUUUAGCACUAAAUAUGGACUAGAAUCUGAGAUAGUAGCCUCUUUUUGUGAAUCAUUUGCUACUCAUGUUGAUCUCCCUGAAGUGAAGUGGUUUAAAUAUCACCCACCUAUUAAAGAAGAAAUUAAAGAACCGGAACUAGCUAAAGAGGAAACCAUAAUUUAUAAUGUUGAUCCAGUUGUUCCUACUGCUUAUAUUGAGAAACCACCUUUCCCUGUUAGGAUAAAGGAACAUACUAAAGUUUCAACUGUGGUCAACAAAAGUUAUAUUAAAACACCUAAACCUGAUGAACAAAUUAAAGUAGAGCCUAGUGUUGCUAUGGUUAAGGAUCUCUUCGAAGAAAAUAUAGAUGGGCAUGUUAUUUACUUUUGUAAUGAAGCUACUAGAAUUGACAAACCCGAUAAAAUGGAUAAUCAUAGACCCGUUGUUGGCAGGCCCGUUGUCUCAGUUAAAAUAGGAGAUCACUAUUAUCAUGGUUUAUGUGACAUAGGUGCUAGCGUGAGUGCUAUUCCCUUCACCUUAUAUCAAGAAAUUAUGAAUGACAUAGCACCCGCUGAAAUAGAAGAAAUAGAUGCCACUAUUAAACUUGCUAAUAGAGACACCAUCACACCACUUGGGAUUGUUAGAGAUGUUGAAGUCUUGUGUGGGAAAAUAAAAUACCCUACUGAUUUUCUUGUUCUUCGUUCCCCACAAGAUGACUUUUGUCCCAUUAUCUUUGGUAGACCUUUCUUGAACACCGUUAAUGCUAAAAUAGAUUGUGAGAAACAAACUGUCGGUGUUAGUUUUGGCGGUGAGUCUCAUGAGUUUAAUUUUUCCAAGUUUAGUAGAAAGCUUCAUGAAAAAGAAUUGCCUAGUAAGGAUGAAAUAAUUGGUCUUGCUUCUAUUGCUGUGCCUCCUACUGAUCCUCUAGAACAAUAUUUGCUAGACCAUGUAAAUGAUUUACAUAUGCAUGAAAGAAAUGAAAUAGAUCAGAUUUUCUUUGAACAACGUCCUCUACAUAAACACAAUUUUCCUAUUAAAACUCUAGGAGGUCCUCCUCCACCUAAAGGUGAUCCUGUGUUUGAAUUAAAACAAUUGCCAGACACUUUGAAAUAUGCUUAUCUUGAUGAAAAGAAGAUAUAUCCUGUUAUUAUUAGUGCUAACCUUUCAGAACAUGAAGAAGAAAGAUUAUUGAAAGUUCUAAGGAAGCACCGAGCUGCUAUUGGAUAUACUCUUGAUGAUUUAAAGGGCAUUAGUCCCACUCUAUGUCAGCACAAGAUUAAUAUGGAACCUGAUGCUAAACCCAUUGUUGAUCACCAACGUCGGUUAAAUCCGAAAAUGAAGGAAGUGGUAAGAACGGAAAUCUUAAAACUUCUAGAAGCAGGUAUAAUCUAUCCUAUAGCUGAUAGUAGAUGGGUAAGUCUUGUUCAUUGUGUCCCUAAGAAAGGAGGUAUUACUGUUGUUCCUAAUGAUAAGAAUGAACUUAUUCCACAAAGAGUUGUUAUAGGCUAUAGAAUGGUAAUUGAUUUUAAAAAAUUAAACAAAUCAACUAGAAAAUAUCAUUACCCUCUGACUUUUAUCGAUCAAAUGCUAGAAAGAUUAUCUAAGCACACACAUUUUUGCUUCCUUGAUGGAUAUUCUGGUUUUUCACAAAUACAUGUUUCUCAACCUGAUCAAGAAAAGACUACUUUUACUUGCCCCUUUGGAAAUUAUGCUUAUAGACGUAUGCCUUUUGGUUUAUGCAAUGCACCUGCUAACUUUCAAAGAUGUAUGGAUGCUAUAUUCUCUGACUUUUGUGAAAAGAUUGUUGAUGUUUUCAUGGAUGACUUCUCUGUUUAUGGGAAGUCUUUUGAUGAUUGUUUAAGCAAUCUUGAUCGAGUUUUGCAGAUAUGCGAGCAAACAAAUCUUGUCUUGAAUUGGGAGAAGUGCCACUUUAUGGUUAAUGAAGGUAUUGUUUUGGGCCAUAAAAUUUCUGAAAGAGGUAUUAAAGUGGACAAAGCUAAGGUUGAUGCAAUUGAGAAAAUGACAUGUCCUAAAGAUAUCAAAGGUAUUUGUAGUUUCCUAGGUCAUGUUGGUUUCUAUAGGAGAUUUAUCAAAGACUUUUCUAAAAUUUCUAGGCCUCUUACAAAUCUUUUGCAAAAGGAUGUUCCUUUUUUUUUGAUGAUGAUUGUUUAGAAGCCUUCGAAACACUCAAGAAAGCCUUAAUUUCUGCACCUAUUGUUCAACCACCUUAUUGGAACUUGCCUUUUGAAAUUAUGUGUGAUGCUAGAGAUUAUGUUGUUGGUUCUAUUCUAGGACAAAGAGUUGAUAAGAAACUGAAUGUUAUUGAUUAUGCUAGUAAAACUCUAGAUAGUGCUCAACGAAAUUAGGCGACUACUGAAAAAAAGAAUUUCUAGCAGUGGUGUUUGCUUGUGAUAAAUUUAGAUCUUACAUUGUUGAUUCAAAAGUAAUUGUUCACACCGAUCAUGCUGCUAAAAAUAUCUUAUGGAAAAGAAAGAUGCCAAACCUAGACUUAUUCGAUGGGUUCUCUUGCUACAAGAAUUUGAUGUACAUAUCACUGAUAGAAAAGAAGCUGAAGCUCGUAGCUGAUAACUUGUCUAGGCUUGGAAAUGUUCUUGAUGACCCACUUCCUAUGGAUGAUAGUUUUCCUGAUGAGCAGUUAGAUGCAAUAAAUGUUUCUCAUAACACUCCAUGGUAUGCUGACUAUGCUAAUUACAUUGUUGCUAAAUAUUUACCACCUAGCUUUACAUACCAACAAAAGAAAAAAUACUUCUACGAUUUGAGACAUUACUAUUGGGAUGACCCACAUCUUUAUAAAGAAGGAGUAGAUGGUAUUAUUAGACAUUGUGUACCUGAGCAUGAACAGGGACAAAUCCUACGGAAAUGUCACUCCGAAGCUUACGGAGGACAUCAUGCGGGAGACAGAACUGCUCACAAGGUAUUGCAAUCUAGAUUUAAUUGGCCUACUCUCUUCAAGGAUGCCCGUAAGUUCGUGUUAUCUUGUGAUGAAUGUCAAAGAAUAGGUAAUAUUGGUAAGCGUCAAGAAAUGCCUAUGAAUUAUUCACUUGCUGUUGAACCAUUUGAUGUUUGGGGAUUUGAUUACAUGGGACAUUUUCCUUCCUCUAAUGGGUAUACACAUAUUUUGGUUGUUGUUGAUUAUGUUACUAAAUGGGUAGAAGCUAUUCCAACGAGUAGUGCUGAUCACAAUACCUCUAUUAAAAUGCUUAAGGAAGUUCUUUUCCCAAGGUUUGGAGUCCCUAGAUAUUUAAUGACUGAUGGUGGUUCACACUUUAUUCAUGGUGCUUUCUGUAAAAUGAUUACCUAAGUAUGAUGUUAACCAUAGAAUUGCAUCACCUUAUCACCCUCAGUCUAGUGGUCAAGUUGAACUUAGCAAUAGAGAAAUAAAAUUAAUUUUGCAAAAAACUGUUAAUAGGUCCCAGAAGAAUUAGUCUAAGAAAUUAGGUGAUACACUUUGGGCUUAUAGAACAGCAUACAAAAAUACUAUGGGUAUGUCUCCUUAUAAAAUGGUUUAUGGAAAAGCUUGUCAUUUACCUCUUGAGUUAGAACAUAAAGCAUAUUGGGAAAUUAAAGAACUCAACUAUGAUUUCAAACUUGCCGGUGAAAAGAGGUUAUUUGAUAUUAGCUCAUUAGAUGAAUGGAGAACCCAAGCUUAUGAAAAUGCCAAGUUAUUUAAAGAAAAAGUUAAAAGAUGGCAUGAUAAAAGAAUUCAAAAGCGUGAGUUAAAUUUGGAGAAUAUGUUCUUUUGUAUAACUCUCAUUUUAGAUUCUUUGCAGGAAAACUCCUCUAAAAUGGGAAGGACCCUAUGUUAUCGAGGAGGUUUAUUGGUCUAGAGCUAUCAAAAUAAAUAAUGCCAAAGGCACUAACCCGAAGGUUGUUAAUGGGCAACGAAUAAAACAUUAUAUCUCAGGUACACCCAUUAAUGCUGAAAGUAAUAUUAUCCAAACUUUGACACCGGAAGAACACAUAAAAGAGUCCUUCCGGAACACUCCAGAAUCAUGAAAAAAAGGAGGUACGUGAUACGAUAAGUAAACGGACUCCAAAAAAUCCGAAAAAAUAUUUUUUGUCAAUUUUGGAAUAUAACAAAAAUUAGGAAAAUAAGAAACAACCAGGAAGGUCACCCUGGUGGGCACAAGACACCAGGGCGCGCCUGGCUUGCUAGGCGCGCCCAGGUGGGUUGUGCCCACCUCGGGUACCUCCCGGACUCCAUUUUUCUACCGUUUGCUUGUUUCCCAAGAUAAAAAAUCUUUAUAUACCCCCCGAACCUAUUGACCACUGUAUCACAAAGAAAUCUUCUGUUUUCUUUUCUUGUUGUUUCCCUGAUAGAUCUGAAAAUAUGUCAUCCCAAGACUCCGAGGGUGAGAUCUAUGUUGUUGAUUUCAUCGCAAACCCCAAGUCUUAUGGGGAUGUGGAGCAUUAUGGCUGGACUUCGGAGGAAGAGGGAGACUAUUAUCCUAGGGAGAAGGAGGAGACGAGCUCAGACGAGGAUGAAGCCCCGUUGCCUCAACUUGGGGACAUGCAUGUGGAAUUCAAGAAGUCCAGCCUCCCCAACAAAGCAAAUAGGCCUAAGGUUCGGUUCAUGCCCUUCCGCCUUUUGCAGGAAAAUAAGCAAGAUCUAUGCAAAAAGGUAUUGGAGCUUGAGCAGGUGCUCGGUGAAUUGAAGGAGGAAAAUUCCAUCCUCAAGCGUAAGCUAAGGAAGAAGGACAAACCCACUACUACACCACCACGACCUUCUUCAUCACCAAAAGAAAAUUGAGUAUCAGGUAUGGGCACUCCCCUUGGCUUCGGCCAAUCUUGGGGGAGGUGCCCCGGUAUCGUAUCACCCCCAUUAUCUUUUGCCUUUACUUAUCUUAGUUCGAUCCAUAGUUAUCUUUUUCUUUAGAUGAAUAAAGUUUAGUUCGACCCUUUCUUUUCGUGUGUUUUCUUGGUGAUCUAUCCUUGUAAUCGUGUGUGAGAUAUAUAAUAAAGUUUAGUUUGAGUUUUUGCUUUAUUUACUUUCAUGUUGCAAUAAAAAGAAAGGAAAUAAAUUAAAAAGAUCGUAUGUUAAUCCUAUGGUAGGUGAUGACGGCCCAUAAGGAAAAGUAUAAGUAGGAAAUUUUAUUAGAGAUUGACAAACAUAGCAUUGGUCAAUGAUGCAACUCAUGAAAGAAUUAAUAAGGGAAGAGAAGAUUCACAUAUAAAUACACUAUCCUGGAAAUCUUUUGUGAUUGUGAGCCCCCAUAAAAAUAUUAUAUUCCAAAAUUGUUGAUGUUGGGCAGGGAAGACAACGUAAUGAUUUAUGUUUGUUCAUAUUCACAUAGAAGUUAUAUUGUCAUAGAUCCUUUAACAUGUGGUGCUUGCCCCCUAUCUUUGCUAGCAAAAAAUUCUGCACCAAGUAGAGAUACUACUUGUGCAUCCAAAAACCCAUAAACCCAAAUCUUAUUUUCAAGAGUCCACCAUACCUACCUAGGGAUUGAGCAAGAUCCCUCAAGUAAGUUGUCAUCGGUGCAAUAAGGCAAUAAAAAUUGCUUCUAAAAGUGUGAGAUCAUUUAGUGUAAGAGAAAAUUGAGCGUUGCACGAACUUGUGAUGGUAAAGAAUAAAAGCGACAAACUGCAUAAUAAAGGUUGCCAUCACAAGGGGAAAUACAACGUGACGUUCUUUUCCACUAAGGGGUUGAGCAUACAAACAAAUAAGCGCAUGGCAACCUCUGCUUCCCUCUGCGAAGGGCCUAUCUUUUACUUUUAUGUAUUAACUUUUAUGCAAGAGUCAAAGUUUUUCUCUCUACUCCUUUUUAUUUUUCUCCUUUGGCAAGCAUCAUGUGGUGAGGAAAGAUCUAGGCACAUAUGUCCAGUUGAAUAUGGGUGGCAUGAGUUAUUAUUGUUGACAUCACCUUUGAGGUGAGUACGUUGGGAGGUGAAACUAUAAGUCCCUAUCUUUCUAUGUGUCCGGUUGAAACGUUUUGCUCAUGUGUAUGCGGUGAGUGUUAGCAAUCAUAGAAGACUAUAUGAUGGUUGAGUAAGUGGACUUGCCUAAAGCCUCUGAUACGUGACCCUUCCUGAAAAGAUGAUUAAUUGUAGUUGCAAAGUUGACUGAGAACAUAGUUUGUUGGUUUCUAAUAGAAUUUAUGCUUUAUACUUCAAUAGUGUGAUGAAUUGUUACUCAUUCAUGAUAAGUCUAUGAUAAAAGUUUUAUGUUUAAAUUUGUUGCUGUUAUAAUAAUUGACAUGAUGCUUCUAUGUCCAUAUUUUGUUUUUAUCGACACCUCUCUCUCCAAGCAUGUGGACAUGUUUUUCGAUUUCGGUUUUCGCUUGAGGACAAGCGAGGUCUAAGCUUUGGGGAGUUGAUACGUCCAUUUUGCAUCAUGUUUUCCUACUGUUGUUUAUGAUGUUUUAUGCAUAAUAAUGCUUUUGGAGUAAUUCUAAUGCAUUUUCUCUCAUAAUAUGCAAGGUAAACACAAAGAGGGAGAAUUCCGGCAGCUGGAAAUCUGGACCUGGAAAAGCUACGACACGCCACCUAUUUUGCACAACUCCAAACAAGCUGAAACUUUACGAAGAUUUUUAUGGAAUAUAUGAGGAAUAUUGGAGCCAAUAAGUACCAGAGGGGGGCCACCAGGUGGGCACAACCUACCUGGGCGCGCCAGGGAGCCCAGGCGCGCCCUGGUGGGUUGUGCUCCCCUCAGCCCACCUCCGGUGCCCAUCUUCUGGUAUAUAAGUCAUUUUGACCUAGAAAAAAUGUGAGGAGGAGUUUAGGGACAGAGCGCCGUCGUCUCGAGGUGGAACUUGGGCAGGACCGCUUUUGCCCUCCAGCGGAGCGAUUCUACCUGGGGAACUUCCCUCCCGGAGGGGGAAAUCAUCAUCAUCAUCAUCAUCAUCACCAACAACUCUCCCAUCUUGGGGAGGGAAAUCUCCAUCAACAUCUUCAACAGCACCAUCUCAUCUCAAACCCUAGUUCAUCUCUUGUGUUCAAUCUUUGUACCGGAACUAUAGAUUGGUGCCUGUGGGUGACUAGUAGUGUUGAUUACAUCUUGUAGUUGAUUACUAUAUGGUUUAUUUGGUGGAAGAUUAUAUGUUCAGAUCCAAUAUGAUAUUUAAUACCCCUCUGAUCUUGAGCAUUAUUAUCAUUUGAGAGUAGUUACUUUUGUUCUUGAGGUCACGGGAGAAAUCAUGUUGCAAGUAAUCAUGUGAACUUGAUGUGUGUUCGAUAUUUUGAUAGUAUGUAUGUUGUGAUUCCCUUAGUGGUGUCAUGUGAACGUCGACUACAUGACACUUCACCAUAUUUGUGCCUAAGGGAAUGCAUUGUGGAGUAGUUAUUAGAUGAUGGAUUGCGAGACUGACAGAAGCUUAAACCCUAGUUUAUGCGAUAUUCCGUAAGGGACCGAUUGGAUCCAAAAGUUUAAUGCUAUGGUUAGAAUUUAUUCUUAAUACUUUUCUCGUAGUUGCGGAUGCUUGCCAGAGGGUUAAUCAUAAGUAGGAGGUUUGUUCAAGUAAGAACAGCACCUAAGCACCGGUCCACCCACAUACCAAAUUAUCAAAGUAGCGAACACAAAUCAAACCAACAUGAUGAAAGUGACUAGAUGAAAUGCCCGUGUACCCUCAAGAAUGCUUUGCUUACUACAAGAGACCGUUUUGGCCUAUCCUUUGCCUCAAAAGGAUUGGGCUACCUUGCUGCACUUUUGUUACUAUUAUCGUUACUUGCUUGUUACAAAUUAUAUUGCUAUCAAACUACUCUGUUACUUACAAUUUCAGCACUUGCAGACAUUACCUUGCUGAAAACCACUUGUCAUUUCCUUCUGCUCCUCGUUGGGUUCGACACUCUUACUUAUCGAAAAGAGCUACAAUUGAUCCCAUAUACUUGUGGGUCAUCAGUCACCGCCUAGCCUUCUAUGCCCACUGACACUGGCAGUGGGAAACCGAUGGGAGAAGAGGCGGGAAACCGAUGGGAGGAGUGGCAGGAAACCGAUUGGGUGAGUGGCGGGGAACGGUAUCGUGUUUGGAUAUAUAUAACACCAUUAAUAUGGAGCACUUAGUAAAGAAGGAAGCGCGAGCUAGCACGACAUGUGUGCACGAUGCUUACCCACGGGUGUCAGGCGGUUAACCAGAACAACUUUAAAUAAUAAGGGUUCGUCUGGCCUUUUUUAUAAAUUAUAAUUGAGUUUUCUAAGCAUUAAUUUAAUGUGCAUAAUUCAAACUUGAACUACAAAUACAUGCUCUAGUGCACCAAAAUGGCUAGAAAAUCAUACAUAUGUCCUUGGAUGCAUGUUUAGGUCCCAUGCAAAGAAUGGGAAUGAAUUAAGCUGUCUGGGCAUCCUGGCUCGGCCUCAAACAUUGAGAAUCUCUGUUUUUUAAUCCCCGUAAAUCCAAAACUCACCCGAAAAUCGUGAAACUUGGCAUGGUGUCACGACAUGGCACAUAUAUGUCAUGGUAAAAAAAUUGUGCAAUUUGGGGCAAGCUUUAUUACAAGCCUCUUAUAAGCCGGAGCUUCUCUCAAGAAGCCUCGUGGUUCCGAUAGGGAAACGUGUCCCCCUUGUGGGCAAAACGAUUAUCAUUGCCUCUUCUUGCCUUGUAUUUUUUUUCUACAGGCAACAUGUAACAACAGGAGAUUCAUGAUGAAAUUUGAAAUUAUUUAGGGUUCGUUCGGCUUUUUUAUAUAUUAAUUGAGUUUUCUAGGUAUUUAAUGUCCAUAAUUCAAAUCUGAACUACAAAUACAUGCUUUAGUGCACCAAAAUGGCUAGAAAAAUCAUACAUGUGUCCUUGGGUGCACGUUUAGAUCCCAAGCAAGGAAUGGGAAUGAAUUACAACCAUCUUAGCGUCCUGGCUCGGCCUCAAACAUUGGAAAUCUCGGUUUUUAAAUCCCCGUAAAUCCAAAACUCACCAGAAAAUCAUGAAACUUGGCUUGGUGUCACGCCAUGGCACAUAUAUUUGUGGUAAAAAAUUGUCCGAUUUGGGGCAAGCUUUACUACAAGCCUCUUACAAACCGGAGCUUCUCGCAAGAACCCACAUGGUUCGGAUAGGGAACAUGUCGCCCUUGUGGGCGAAAUGAUAAUCGCUGUCUCUUCUCGCCUUGUAUUUUUUUCCACGGGCAACAUGGAACAAUAGGAGAUUCGUGCUGAAAUUUGAAAUUAUUCAGGGUUCUUUGGCCUUUUAUACAUUAAUUGAGUUUUCUAGGCAUUUAAUGUCCAUAAUUCAAAUUUGAACUACAAAUACAUGCUCCAGUGCACCAAAAUGACUAUAAAAAUCAUACAUGUGUCCUUGGAUGCAUUUUUAGGUCCCAUGCAAGGAACGGGGAUGAAUUACAAACGUCUCGGCAUCCUGGCUCGGCCUCAAACAUUGACAAUCUUGGUUUUUAAAUCCCCGUAAAUCCAAAACUCACUCAACAAUCAUGAAACUUCGCAUGGUUUCAUGACAUGGCACAUAUAUGUCGUGGUAAAAAAAUCUUCAAAUUUGAGACAAGGCGCACACAUUAAUAGCCAACGCGGUCCUUUUGGAACAAAUAGCUGGCACGUUACUAUCAAAAUGGUCAUAUUUUUUUAACCGUGUGUGUUUCUGUAACCAUUUAAGUGUGGCCACGCAUCCCUCUUUUUAUUGGGGAGUACUACCUCGGUCCUGGUUUAUUGGUCCUCUUUGUAUUUUGAGCCAAAAUUUAACCAUAGUUGGUGGCAUGCGUGCAGCUGUUUGAUUAGACGGGAAGAGUGGGAGAAGUCCGUCGUGCAGGCUCGAUGGGACGUGUGUGAGCAAUCCGCCGGCAGGCUCGAUGGGACGCGUGUGACCUGUCCACCGCGCAGGCUCGACGGGACGCGAUCGACCUGUCUGCCGCGCAGGCUCGACGGGACGCGUUCGACCUGUCCGCCGCACAUGCUCACCGGGAAGCGAGCUCUUUGACCUCCAUCCACGAGCCGUCCACCUCGCUCACAACUUAUCCAUUAAUGGCGGUCGAGCCGCUGUUUAACAUGUGGUUAAAGCACCUGGAUGGAGGAUGUUUUCUUGUGAUCCCAUGGCCCCGCACAACGGUAGCAUUUGUUUUGUUCGUGCCUCGCUGAGAACAUGAUUUUAGCUUGUUUUCAACUCGUAUUCCAGAUAAUUUAAAAUGCCACAUGCGGCAACGGAUAAUACGACGACAAAUUUACAACGGCGCGGAUAAUAAUUGUCUUACAUAUUCUGGAUAAUUUAAAAUGCCACAUGCAACAACGCCUGAAAGACACAGGGGCAAGAGAAGAAGUAAAUCACAGACAACGAUCUAGGUCGCUACUGUCUCUACUCCUCGAUGGAUCGCCGGGCGAGGAGUUCCUCCAGCUCCUUCUUCAAAUCCUCACGACUUUUACUUGACAGUAGCCACGGGUUCCUCUACCUGCAGCUCGCGCUUGAUGCGGAGUUUCCUCGAGUCACCCAUAAGUUCCUCGAUGACGGCUUCCAGCGUCAUCCCCGAGGCACUGCUCUGCUCAUGCAGCUUCUUCGAGUCGGCGGCCUCCUCCUCCUUCUUGGCGAGCUCGUUGAGGAGCUUUGCAUUGUCACCCAUCAGUUGCACGACAAGGCCAGUCGCCUUCUCAACUGAGGCAUCGCUAAUCUCGAGUAGCUUCACCAAGCCGUCGACCAACUCAUGCUACUUAAUUAGGCUAGCGAGACUAUCAUUGUCGCUGGACAAGGACUUCAGCACCGCCAGAUCCUCAUGUUCACCGACACGGCGAGUGCGCUUGUGAGAGCCCUCGCCUGCCGGUGAGAGCUCGUUCAAGGGCUUCGCGAUGUGCCGGGACAUCUCUGUUGUGGCUGUCGCAUAGCGGCGGGACCUCUCUAGUGCUUUUGCGGCCUUGGUCUUUGCUCCCUGGUUAUAUGUUGACCCAAAACUCCUCCUACCGGUCAUGGUGAAAUGACUUGACGGGAAAGACCUAUUUUUUUGGGCGAUGAGGAGAGGAAUUGUGAAGUAAUUUUCAAGUGGGUAGUUUUUAUAGCCAAGUGCUAAGUGGGAACAUGUUUAGGUUUGAUCGGUGUGAAUAUAUUUGCAAUUACUUAUUGCGUGGUAAUAUGGAAUGUGACGAGAAACAAGCUCAAAAUUUAUUGAUGGUUCUAGGCUCGAAGCCUGAGAUGUUUCCCGGAUGGCGUAUGUGGGCCCGCGUUCUUGGAUGUGUACGUGUCUGCCCACUAUCACACACGGUCCAGAUAUCACCAUCGUGUCCGAUGGAUGGGCCGUCGCGCCUCUCAUGGGGUGCCAGAAGGUUGACCAAAAUUGCAAUAUGCAGAUGUGGUUGCGCGCCGUUGAGGCGGCCGCGGCACGCUCCGCUCUGGCGUCCCUGCGCGCGCUCUGCUCGCCGUUGAGGCAAAUUUACAAUGGCAAUGGUUAAUAAUUGUCUUACAUAUUAAGGAUAAUUUAAAAUGCCACAUGUGGCAACACCCAAAACACACACGCCCUACAUAUGCUUAGUGACUUAAAAUGUCGAUAUGCAACAUUUGGAUACAAUUAUAAUAAAAUAUAGGAUAAAAGGCUGAGCCGGCGGCCUUCCGACGACGGUCUUCUUGGACUCCAUGAUCAGCAUAGCACCCUUGCGGCCGUUCAUUCAGAGUGUCCGGACCCGCGGCCACGGUACCCGUCUCCGCCUGCGAAGCUGCUGGCGCUGGGAGGCUCUUGGGGUUGUUGGGCCUCUUCCAGUAGAGCUUGACAGUGUGCAAUCGCGUGCAUGACAUGCCCGCGGAACCGCUCCCAUCUCCAUGUCUCUGCACUGGUAGCAAAUUCCGUCCAUCACUUGCAUCCUCAAGAUAUCACGUUGGUGAUGUUCUACUUUGUCGGGGACGUCAACUCCGACAAGGAUGCGCUCGAGCCUAGCAACACAUCAUUGGGAUCGAGGUUGACACGGCCACCGACGGCAAUGAUGAGGCGGUAGACAGGUUGUCUCAUAACUAAAACACAGAGGUCCUCUGCCCAUUCCUGGCGGGCAUCAGGCUCCCAAUGAGCACCGGUGACAGCGGAUCUUCGGGUGGGUCCUCGAUCAUGCCGCCUAGCAGCUCUGGAUCUUUUGCAUGGUGGAUGGCAAAGUGCUCAUCACACUUCCUCUGCAAUAUGUCCAUUGUGCGCCCAAGGAACGGCACAGCGAUAUCGCUACCGAUGGGCCAUGGCGCCUGCACCAGCUGAUGAAGCUCUUGCUCUCCGACCUACUCCGGCUCGUUCUCCUUGCCAAAGAUGUAACACAGGAAGGGGUCAACGUCGAAGCAUCGGUUUCCUGGCAUGCUUGGAAUAACUAAUGGUAGAUAGGUAUGGUAUAGACCUGCGCACAGUGUCACUACGGUGUGUUGCCGCCUGGGUCAUAUGGAGCUAGCCACUAGCUGGUGGCGGGAAACCGAUGAGGGAAGACGCGGGAAGCAUUGGCGUGGAUUGCGGGACACGUGUAUAACGCCAUUAAUUUCUGCACUGGGGGUCUGUGUUGGUAUAGAAACUACCUCCGCCUUGGUUUAUUUGUCCCCUUCGUAUUUUGUACCAAUUUUUUACCUUAGAUUUAACUAAGAAAAUAUUAAUGCAUGUCAUCGAAAAUAAUAUUGUUGGGCAGUUAUUCCCUACUAUAUGCAAUAAUUAUGCAUGUGAUUGCUCGCCAUUGAGGAGGCCGCGACGCGCUUUGCUCGCGUCCCUCCGCGCGAUCUGCUCGUCGUUUAGGCGCCGAGCCGCGCUCGGGUCACGUCCCUCCACGCGCUCUGCUCACCGUUUAGGUGCCGAGGCACGCUCAGGUCACGUCCCUCCGCGCGCUCUGCUCUUGCGCCCCUUCACGCGUGACCUGCCAGCGGUCGGGGCCGGCGCACGAUCAUGUUGGGGAAGCUUUAGUUAUUUGAUCUCAGCUGGACACGGGGAACGGGCGAUGGAGAUCAUAGAUUAGGUUAAUUAAUUAUACCUCCAGAGUCAGAUGAUCACUAUGUGCUCAUCCGGCUCGGAAGGUAUAAUUAGUUAACCUAAACUAUGAUCUCCGGCGCCCAUUCUCGUCGCGCAACUCCAUCCUGUCAUCGGCCGAUGGGAGUAUGCCGGUAUGUGUAGGUAACUAGCAAGAAAGUGGAUUAGUAGCGAGUCGCCGCCACCGGCCAUUGUUGUGGUUAUUUAUAGUUAGCAACUGGCUAGAGGAUUGGGGAGUUUACAAUUCACCCUUGUGGAGCGCGGGGAGCCUUCGCUGGAGCGCGGGAAGACUAAGUGGAGCAGACAAUCGUAUGCGGUGUCACGUGUUAUCACACACAUGUUAACAUAAGGAAACGUAUGUGUAACUUACUAAUCAUCGCACACGAGUACUCGCACCACGCAUCGUGUGUGAUACUCCUAGCCAUCGCAAUCAACUCGUUUGCAUUCUCAAUUUUUUUUCUACACACAUAGUCGCACGUGAAAUAACUGCAAUAACUGUUUGUGUUAUAUUUUCUCAUCGCAAACAGUUCAUCCGAGUGGCCUGUUUGUCGUGUAUCACACACAUCUUGUUUAAAUGAAUCGUUUGUGUUCUUUUGGCUAAUCGCAACUAGUUCAUCCGUGUGAAGUGUAUGCCGUCUAUCGCAUAUACCUUGAUCUGGCUGACCAUUUCUGUUGUGUUGCCUAAUCGAAAACAAUUCAUCCGAGUGAAUUGUAUGACGUAUAUCGCACACACACUUUAAUAUGGCUAACCGUUUAUGUUGUGUUCCCUAAUCGCAAACAGUUCAUCCGAGUGAAUUGUAUGCCGUAUAUGGCACACACCUUGAUAUGGCUGCCCGUUUCUGUUGUUCUGACUCAUCGCAAACAGUUCAUAUGGAUCGACUGCAUGCCACGCAUCACACACACAACUAUAAUAUAAAUCGUCUUUGAUCUCCGCCAUCGCAAACGUUUCGUAUCAUUUUUGACGGUUUUAUUACAUCACCGUUUCUGAUUAAUGCACCGCACACAGUUUCGUCGAAGGGUCUCUGAUUGUAGUGUCGUGUUAGCAGCAUCCUGCAAUAGUGACCACAAGAAGUUGUAGAUGCUUUUACUGCUCGUAAUGAUGAUUAUGAGUCAGUCUAGUGCCUCAUGUUGACUUGCAUGGAUCCUAAACUACAUAAGCGUUUAGAACGAUCAAGUACUCAAUUUAUAGUUGGGUCACUGGAUGCUCUGUACAAGAAGCAGGCAAGGACUAUACGUUUUGAAAUAACCAAGGCCUUGAUUGAAUGCAAGAUGGCAAAAGGUUCCUCAAUGAGUGAGAUAUAGUGAAGCUGGUUGGCUAUGUUGAUAGGCUUGCUACUUUGGAAUUUGGAAUUCCUCCAACUCUCGGUAGAGAUAUUGUGCUUGCUUCACUCCCCCCAUCUUACGAUGGUUUUAUCAUGAAUUACAACAUGAAUGGGAUGGAGAAAAGCGCAAACAAGUUGUUCGCUAUGCUCAACACUGCAGAGGCUAGAAUGCAGAAGAACAAACAAGUGUUGAAGGUCAAUAAGACCGCCAGUUUCAAGAAGGGCAAGUCCAAGAAGAAAUCUUCAGGAGCCGGUAAGAUUGUGUCACAGAAGAGAAACAAGGGCCGAGCUACUAAGGAGACUGAAUGUUUCUACUACAAGCAGAAUGGACACUGGAAGUGCAACUGCAAGAAAUACUUGGCGGAUAAGAAGAAGAACGGUUCUUCUGGUAAAGGUAUAAAAGUUAUACAAAGUUAACGUUAUACUACUUAUUAAAUUAUGUAAUUCAAGAGUAUUUGAUAUGAUCGGUUGCUUUUAUUUGCAAACCGUCACAGGGACUACAGAAAGCUCGCAAGUUGAGAAGGAAUGAAGUCGUGAUGCAAGUCGAGAGUGAUGAUUGGAUCACUGCUCAUGCCGUCAAAAGCCAUAUCUUUACUUUAUCUUCAAGAUUAUCCUAGAACCGAAUAAUAGUUAUUUCAGUCAUAAGUUAUGUGAGGCAUUAUCUUUUGGGUUAUGCGAUGGAUAUUCUUAUAAGUUUUAAACAAUGGUUGUUCAAAGUUAUUAUGAGAACGUAUAUUUUGGAUUUACCUCUAUUUUGUUAGUGGUUUUAUUCACUAUGGAUCUUGAAGAAUAUUUAUGACAUUAAUGCUAAACGUCUUAAGAAGACUGAUAAAACUACUUAAUUGUGGCACCACAGUGUUGGUCAUAUCGAAAGAAUUGUAUGGGAAACUUCAUUGAGACGAAGUAUUAGAGUUCCUAAUUAUUGAAUCAUUUGACACAUACAAGAAUUCUUCAAUGAAUCAAAUGACUAAUAUAUAUUGCUCAAAAUUGUUUUGAUCAGAAGGGUAAAUCAUUGGAAUAACACAUGGUAAUGUAUACAAUUUAGUGAUCAUACUAGGGCGCGGUGAAUAUUUAUACUUCAUAAAAUUCACUAAUGACUUGAGUAGAUAAGAUUUACUUGAAGAUCUAAAAUGUUUGAAGUGUUCAAAAGGAAUUUACAAUGAAGUUAAGGAUCAUCAUGACAGAAGAUAAAUAGUUAUCAAAGUCAUGAUUUUAGCAAAUAAAUGAGUAUGAGUUGUUUCCUAAUUUACCGAUCCACUUGUAAUUAUUCUGGGGUUAUGCAUGCAAACGACAAUAUAUACACUAAAAUGAAGCACCAUCUAAAUGUCUGGCAUAACUACACCAUAUGAGUUAUGGAGUAAACAAUCUAGAUGAAUACUAUCCCGUAGAUUAUCCCUCUUACAAAAAUUCGGAGACAAAAGAGUUUGUCGCAGAAAAUGGACACCUUCUCGAGAAGAGCUUCUCGCUAAAGGAGUAAGUGGGAGGACAAUACUGCCUAACAAGAUUACAGAAUCUUCGGUGGAUAUAAACAGAACUAAACGGAAUAUAUUCCGAGAAUUUUCUAUUCAAAUUGAUCCAGGAAAAAGGGUUAUUACACUAGCUAUAAAAACUUCGAGUUAAGGCUGUGAAGCUGCAUACGAAAGAAGAAGUUCAUCUUAGUGGUAGAUAAACAUGCGCACUACAUGGAAACGAUGGCGGCACCCAGCUCAUAACGAUGACUCAAAGCUAAAUAAUCCAAAAUGAAUUUCAUCAAGUUUGGAACUUGAUUGAUUAUUCAUGGAACAGACACUAAUGGUGUUUAUAUUGUCCAUAAAGCAAGGUUAGUUGCAAAAGAAUUUUGCGAGGGCGUGAGAAUUUAUUAUAUGAAUCAUUUUUCACCAAAUGCAAUAUAAAAGUCUAUACGGAUAAUGAUAGCAACUACGUUGGUAAAAGAUUAUAAGCUUAAGUCUAUAGUUUGAAGCAGGCAUCAAAAGGAGCUGGAAUUAACAUUUUGAUGAAAUGGUUAAAUAAGUUUUAACUUCAUUAGAAUGUUGAGACUUGCGAAAUUUUGUGGGAGUUGUAUGACAUUUCUAAAAUCUAAUAUGUGGAUGGCAUAUUGUUGGAAAUAAUAUAGUUUCUUAACACAAUAAAAGGCUUCAUCAAAAGGUGUAUUUUGAUGAAAUACUUAGGUAAAAUAGCUUAUUGGACAUCAAGUUCUAUGAAGAUAAAUCUAUAUAUCCAAUUGUGCUAAAACCUGAGUAUGUGCAUUCACAAGGUUUCAAAGAAGUUUGAAAAGGAGAAUGGUGAAAGGAUUUCCUCCCAAUUGUCACAUGGUGUAAUACCAAGCAAAUCAAUGUCCUAGGACAGUUGAUGAGCUUACGUAGAUGAUUGGAGUUCAAAAUACAUAGUUGAAUCCAUCAUCCGAGAACCAUGAUAUGUGCAAAGGUAAGAGUUUCUUAGAGAGUGGCGUUUUGGCACAUGGGAGCGCGUGCUCCUGGCGUUUUGGCACAUGGGAGCGCGUGCUCCUGGUUUUUUAAAAAUAUUUUAAAAUGUCAAAAAAUCAAACAAAAAUUUAGCACGUACAUCUCGAUAUUGUACAUGCUCACAAAGUCGUUUGGCGAAAAACCGACAACGUAUGUGCCGCGUGUGAAAAAGACAAAAAUCUGGUGUUAAAAAAUGCUUUUCACAAGACAUCCUUUUGUCUUUUUUACACAAGCCACAAAAAGGGUCGGUUUUCUUCGAAACUUGACGUGCACACAUAUAAUGUCGAGAUGUAUGCGUCAAAUAUUUGUUUGAAGUUAUUUCACACUUUAAAAUAUUUUUUCGCGUGUAGGAGCGCGCGCUCCUGGGAGCACCAACGGAUUUCGAGGGAGGUACUUAAUAAUUUUAGUAGUUUUGGGAUGGAUCACUGAGCAGCUAAUAAAAUUAUUAAGUACCUCAGAAGGACAAAAGAACAUGUUUUGUCUACAGAGGAGAUGAAGAGAUUGUUGUACGAACAAAACAUCUUCAUGACUAUUAAAAUUAUUAAGUACCUCAGAAGGACAAAGGGCCAUAUUUUGUCUAUAGAGGAGAUGAAGAGAUUGUUGUACAAACAGAACAUCUUCAUCACUGUUUUAGAUGACUAUCGGGCUACACUAGAAUAAUGGUUUUGAAUUACUUCAAAACAUGGUAUUGUGGAUAAUAUAGCGAUAGAAUAUGUUGAGGCUUAAAGAUGCUUCAAAGUAGAAUAUUUGGAUCAAAAAGUGUCUUGAGAGAAAUAGGAUUAUAAUAUAUGUCUAAAACAAGAAAUGUCUUGAUAGAGAUAAAAUGAGAAUAUCUAGAUCAAGAAGUGACUUGCUAUAGAUUUGAUGAUCCUGAAUGCGAUAAAACUGAUGUCAUUAGAUUAUGAAUAAUAGGGUCAAUAGUCAAAGCAAAAGGAAGUUUUUAAACAGACAUAACAAAAGAAAGUUUCACAAAAGGAUCUGUAUGUAACAGAACCAUUGACGAAGGCUAUGCCACAAGCAAAAGCAUGAGAUAACAUCAGACAGCCAUUGGUGUUAAAAAUAGCAUGCAACUAGAUUAUUGACUCUAGUGCAAGUGGGAAUCUGUUGGAAGUAUACCCUAGAGGCAAUAAUAUUGUAUUAUUAUAUUUUCGGGUUCAUAAUUUAGAGUCUAUAUUCUAUGUUAUAAAUGUUAUGAUCCUGAAAUAUGCGAUUUAGUGGAAAACUCAUAUGCACGUGUAGAACGAUAAACGGUAAAAUAAGGUUCAUAGUCUCGCCUCUAAGACUAGCUCAAGUGUUGUUGGUGAUCACAUUUUUCGGAUCUUGAGAUAUCGUUAAGUGUAACGAUAGUCUCAAAAUAACAUUGGGAAUAUGAGUUAGAAGAACGAUCAUAUUGAAUCGACCCAAAUAUUUGUUUGUUAUACUUUGAGAUAAUAUCGUCAUAAGUCAAUUGCUAUAAAAUAGAGUGUUAACUUGCAUUUUAGUUCCUUAGACCAUGAGAGUAUCGUAGUCACCUCUUGUCAUACGAUGAGCUUUGGGGUUCCUCAAACGUCAUCAGUAACUUGGUGAUCAUAAUGACAACUUACAGGUUCAUCGGAAAGUUUGACAAAGGACACGGUCGCUCGACAGUGGAAUUAAUUUGCUCCUCCGACAAUGGAGAGAUAUUCUUAGGGCCCUCUCGGUGUGACGGCAUCCAUCAUUGUUUGGCCAGACAUAGGUGACUUCAUCACGGGGAUGCCGAAACACAAGAGCGAGAAAGAAGAACAAAACUAGCAACGAGGAGACCGGUAGAGUGAGCAUGUGUAUGACUCAAGAGGAUACCGAUAUAUCUCGCCUCGGGUUUUGUAAAGUAUCAUGAAGCAAAGGGAACAUCACAUGAUAAACAAAGGUUCUCUCGAAUGUCAUUCGUGUAAUCAUAGGGAUCGAUAUGGACAUACACGGUUCCGCUAUCGAUCAUUGAACCAAGGGGUUUUGUUCAUGUCUAUGAUUUACCAAACCUACAGGGUCACAAGCUUAAGGUAAUCAUGAUCUGUUGAGUGUUAGUUGGAUGGGAGUAUUGAGGAUUUAUUUAUGAAACAGUUUCAUUAAUAUUCAGAAUAGUUCCAAGAGGAACCGAAAGCGUUUCGUGGUCACCGGAAGGGUUUCCGAGUUUACCGGACAAUACCAGGUAUUACAGCUAAUUAAUAUAUAGGUGUUAAAAAAUGGUGAUGUUAAAUUAUAUAUGAUUUGCUCUAGUAAUUUGUAGGGGCUUUUAUAAUUAAUUUAAUAUCAACGGGCCUAAAAAGGCCAAGUGGUGGAGGAAGAAUUGGGCCACCAAGGCCCAAUAGGGGAGGCGCCCCCUCUUUCCCUAUAGGGGGGCAAUUGGGGUGGGGAAGGAUUCCUCCCGCCCCCUUGGCCGACGCAAGGGGAGGGGAAUCCCCCCCCCCCUGUGGCGCCCCCUCCUCCCCUCCAGCCUAUAUAUACUUGAGGUAUUGAGCUCUUUUGACAUACAAGUUUUAGGUGUCUCCUCUAGCCCAAUACUACUAGUUCUAAUUAGGAUAAUUAGAGUUAGUUAUAGUUCCUCUAAUCCUCAUAAUUAGAAGCCCCGAGUGGCUCUAAUAUUAUCCUCUAAUUCUUCGGCGGCGGUUAGUUCUGGACGGCGAAGCACUGCUAGAUCAUGAGGACCGUACACUUGCAAAUUGUAGAGAGGUCAUGCUUUCGGUCUUCGGUUUGAGGGAUAGUUCGUGGGCGGUUCGCGAGAUCGUUCAUCGGCAGUAUGAGGGACUCCAAGUACAAUCUACACCGACCCGUCUGCUUCUGCUACAUACUCGGAGUUGGUAACGAUCAUGAUCCAAUCCCCUAAUGCAUCUUCGUAUUGUUCCUGGGUGUUCGUAGGUUGAUUUUUUUGUUUUCUACUAUGUUUCCCAACACCCACAUGGACCGAGGGGUGGGGCUAUAGCCCACACGGGCUGGCCACACCAGCCCCCAAGGCCCAUCCCGUUUAAAUCUAGAGAUAAGGUCUUAUCUCUAAAUUUAAAGGGUUGAAUCUAGAGAUAAGAUGUUAUCUACAAAUUUAAAGGGAUUUCUCCCAUCUGGCCGGCCCUAGGAGGGUUUUGGCCACCUUCCCCUGCCCCCUAGUCUAUAUAAAGAGAUGGGAGGCACAUGGGGCAGCAACCCUUCGACCCUUGGCCGUCGUCUCUCCCAACUCCUCCCAUCUCCUCACGCAGACACUUGGCAAAGCCCUGCUGUAGUUUCGUUGCCGCCGUCACCACCACCACGCCGUCGUGCUGGCCUAGAUCCCAUCUACCUCUGCACCCUCCCUUGUUGGAUUAGGAAGGGGGAGACAUCACCGAGUCGUGCACAUCUUGGAGGUGUCGUUCGUUUGACGCUGGAUCAGAUUGGAUCGCGGAGGGAGUACGAUAAGCCAACCAUGAUCUUUAGAUCGUUAGCACUUUUGGUCUACAAGGGUAUGUAGACACUCCCCCUAUCGUUUCUAGCAUCUCCAUAUAAUAGAUCUUGGGUAAUUCUAGGAAAAAAAUGUUUUCCAUGCGACGUUCCCCAUCACCCGUGUGGGUGAUGAUUUCUUGCAUGGGCUCCGGAAAAAGUGGCAAGUUCUCUGUGCGUAGUGCAUACAAAUUGGCCAACGAUGAUCAAGCAAAUUAUGCAUCGGCGUCAACUAGAAGCAGACCAGAUGGAAGCAGGGAUGGAUGGAAGGAGAUUUGGCGCUGCUUGGUGCUUGGUGCCCCCAAAGGUCCAGUCCUUUGCAUGGCGUUUUGCCUCGAUUCAUUAGCUACGUGGGCAAACAUAGUUAAGCGAGCAUCGAAAGUAUCAGAAACUUACCCGGUGUGUGGACGUGAGGAGGAAGACACUUAUCAUGUGUUCUGUUCAUGCAAUCAUGCAGUUCGUCUUUGGGAAGCUAUCUCCGCAGAGUGGCACUUGCCCAAACUAAAAAACAUAAAGCAUAUAGGGAGUGACUGAUUGUUCAAUCUACUGGCCAAUACAAAUGAGGAAUUGAGAUGUCAUUUGUUAAUGUUGUUCUGGAGGAUUUGGUACUUACGAAAUGAGAUAGUGCAUUCAAAACCUCCGCCGCCUAUUGAUGUCUCUAUUCAGUUUUUAUCAAGCUAUCUAGCCUCACUACAAGCCCUACAAAUUCCUAUGGACCCAGUUAAGGGUAAGUAUGUGCUUCAUAUGGAUUACCAGAAACUAUCCACUCAAAUAGAAGGCCCUGACUCAUGGACUAAACCUGCUACGGGUCGAGUAAAGGUUAAUACAAACAGGUAUUUUUUGGAUGGAAAUGGAGGUGCUGGCAUGAUCCUUAGGGAUCAGGAAGGAUCAAUCAUUCUUAUUUCCUGCAGACACUUGUACACUUGCAUGGAUGCGCUAGAGGCAAAACUACUUGCUAUAAAGGAAGAAAUUCCCUUAGCCUUGUAAUGGAGGAAAGAAAUGCAAAUAGAUUCAAGUAUGCACUCAUUGUUAGAGAGAUUGUUCUUAGUAUUGGGGGUGGGGGGGAUUCUUGUAUUCCUCAUACUCGUUGGAGUUGUAAGAUUUGUCUAGGCUCUGGCCCAGAAGAGGUCCUGGAAAUUGUUAGACGAGAUUGUAAGAUUUCAGUAACAUAAGAAUUAUUUCGCAAAAAAAUAAAUCUAUUUGAAAACAUGUUAAAUUUGUAUAGAAAAAAUGUUGACCAUGCAUUUAGAAAUUAUUAAACUUGCAUUUAAAAAUGGUAAAUGUGUAUAAUAAAAAUGUUGACCAUGUGUUGAAAAAAUGUUAAACUUGUAUUUGAAUAAUGUUAAAUUUGUACAGAAAUAAUGUUGACCAUGUAUUCAAAAAAUGCUAAACUUAUACUUAAAAAAAUUAAAUGUGUAUAGAAAAAAUGUUGACCAUGUUUAAAAAAAAUGUUAAACUAGUAUUUGAGAAAGUUAAAUGUGUAUAGAAACCAUGUAUUGAAAGUUCAAAUCAAUGAACUAUAUUCAGAUUGAUGAACCUUUUUUCAAAUUGGUGAACAAUUUUCGACAUCGAUGAACUUUUUUUUUCAAUCGAUAAACUUUUUGUCAAGUUUGAUGAACUGUUUUUCAAGUUCGAUAAACUAUUUUUCAAAGUUUGAUGAACUUUUUUCAAAGUCAAUGAACAUUUUCCAAAGUCGAUGAACAUUUUUUCAAAUGUGGGAACUGUUUUUGAAGACCGAUGAACUUUUUAAAAUUUAUGAACUUUUCUAAAAAAUUGAUGAACUUUUUUGAAUAAAUGAACUUUUUUCUAAUUCGUGCUUUUUUUGAAUAAAUGAACUUUUUCCUAAUUCGUGAUUGUUUUUGAAUAAAUGAAAAAAACUGAAUAAUAAUCAUGUUUUUUCUAAAAUGUGUGUGCAAGAAAUAGCGCGGGUACAAUUUUUUUGAGACAAUCUCGCGAAGCUUUUAUUUAACUCGUCACAAUGUUUACAGGGACGAAAGAAAGAUUACCUGGGUUGCCUAACCACACACGGCGGCCAACACCAAGUGAGAGAGCAUGCUUCGCUAAAUUGUGAGCCUCGACAUUCGAGCUCCUAAACUCAUGGCUAAAAAAGCAGGUAACAAAAUGCUUAGAUCGAUCUGCAAUCUCCCUAAUGAUAGCUCCAUAUGCCACUGCACUCCUUUGCCCAAUAUCAUCAACCACCACUUUGCAUUAUGAGGCCACUGAAAUCCUGCGUUCAUAAAGAUCAUCCGCCAAAGCUAGUGAUUCCUGUACUGCCAAAGCCUCUAGCGUCGUAGGAUCAUCUAGGCCAUGGAAGGUGAUCGUGGACGCGCCCAAGAAAACCCCAUGCCUGUCCCUACACACUGCUGCGACAGCACCAACCGACCUGGUCCUCAUAAGUGCAGCAUCAACAUUAAUCUUGCAAGUGCCUUCUCUUGGUGGUAUCCACUUGUCCGGGCGUGGCCGCAUCACCCUGGGCUGCCCUUGUGGUUUGGCUAGCACCUGAAGAUCGCUAAUGAAAGCGGCAACGAAUGCGUUCAUUGCAUAUGGCGUUUGGUGUACCCCCUUCAUGGAUCAGUUUCCUCCUAGAACUCCAGAUUGCCCACAACGUGACUCCAAGUCUGGUAAAGUCCGCAUGUGAUAAUGUGUUUUUCAGAGAAAACAGCCAUACUUUUGCGCUUGCGUUGUCACAUGUGCUCAUCUGCUCGACAAGGAGAUCAGGUGCCAAGGACCAGACGCUCCUCGACGUUGCGCAUUCGAGCAAGGCAUGCCUCCAGGAGUCCGCCACCCCGCACAUCUGGCAUGCUGGCGAGGUAGCCAUGUUGCGGUGGUGGAGGAUAUCAUAUGUAGGUAUAGACUCCCUCGCCAAACGCCACAGAAACACACAAAUCUUGUUCGGGACUUGUGUCUGCCAGAGAGAGGACCAACUACUGCUAUCCUCGGUGCAAGAGGGACCCUCGGUGCCAUAUAGCCAGUUCUCGCGGCUGAGCUUGGUGUUUUGUAUCAUAUGAUAUGCUGAUCUGACCGUAAAAUUACCUCAAUUUUCUCUGCUCUAAGCCAGAAAUCUUCCACUCUCCUUGUGCACAAAGGAAUCUUUAGUAUGGCCUCGACAUCUAUAGGGAUGAAUACAGAACGGACCAACUCCACUUUCCAAGUGGACGUUGUCUCGUCUAUGAGUUCAUGCACUCAGGUGGGGGGGACCAUAGAUUAGAUUGGCCUUGGAAAAUCUUGCCUCGGGAUCCAGUUGUGUUCCUAGAUCAGCGUGUUCUCUCCUGUCCCGAUUCUUCUAAUGACUCCUUGCUUCAUUAUAUCCCUUCCAUCAAUGAUAGCCCGCCAAAUCUGUGAAGGGUGUGCUCCCAACUCGGCCUCCAACAGGCCUGUCUCAGGUAAAUAUGCAACUUUCAGGAUUAAUGAGCUCAGAGUGUUUGGAUUGUUUAGCACUCUCCAUGCUUGCCUAGCCAAUAAAGCGAGGUUAAAAAAUCUCAAGAUCGCAGAAGCCCAAACCUCCCAUGUAUUUUGGCCUCGUCAUGAUCUCCCAUGAUACCCACGCUGGUUUCCGUUUGCCAUGCUUACUGCCCCACCAGAACUGUCUUAUGAUGGAUGUAAUAUUGUCACAUAAACCUCUCGGCAGCCUAAAAUAAGCCAUAGAGUAAACCGGAAUUGCCUGAGCAAUAGAUUUGAUUAGUACCUCCUUUCCUGCUGAAGAUAAUAGCUUCUCCAUCCAGCCCUUAACCUUCUCCCACACCCGGUCUCGAAGGUACUUGAAUGUGCCGUUUUAGAGCGACCCACAUCUGUUGGCAUGCCCAGAUAUUUGUCACUCAAAGAUUCUCUAUGGACUUGAACAACAAUUUUCACACUAUCAUGGGUGGUCUGAAGGCACCCUUUACUGAAGAAAAUAGUGGACUUGUCAUUAUUAACUCUUUGACCAGAAGCACCACAAUAAGCAUCCAAUAGGUUUGACACCGCAUUCGCCCCCUCAACACUUGCUUUGAAAAACAACAGGCUGCCAUCUGCAAACAAGAUGUGGUUUACAGCCGGGGCUGUUGGCGCCACCUUGAUUCCUUCUAGCACCGAUGAUUGAGAACUGGAUUUAAAAGGCACAAAAGGCCCUCCGCUCCAAUCAGAAACAAGUAAGGGGAAAUAGGGUCUCCCUGUCGAAUACCUCUCGAAGGGUUGAACUAUUCUAGUUUCUCUCCAUUGAAAAGAACUGAUAAAGGCACUAAAGAUACCAUGUUCAUCAUUGUGUCAAUCCAUGGUUGUGAAAAUCCCAACUUGGACAUUAUAGCCCUCAGAUAUGGCCACUCUAGGCGAUCAUAUGCUUUCAUCAUAUCGAGCUUUAGGGCACAUGUGCUGUUAACUUUUGCUCUGGAUCUCUUCAUGAAAUGCAGACACUCGUAAGCACAAAUGGUGUUGUCUGUUAUUAGCCUGCCUGGGACAAAGGCUGACUGUUACUCAGAGAUAAUGUCAGGAAGUAUUUGCUUAAGUCUAUUAGCCACAACAUUAGAAGCAAUCUUGUAUAGGACGUUGCAUAAACUUAUGGGUCGGAAUUGAGAAAGAAGAGUUGGAUUCAUUACCUUUGGUAUUAACACCAAAACAGUAUCAUUAAUGCUCUCCGCACUCUCCUCCCUCUGACAAUUCUGAGGACAGCUCGUGUGAUCUCAUCUCCGCAUAACGGCCAGUGUCUUUGGUAAAAGUGAGCCGGGAAGCCAUCUGGUCCUGGUGCCUUCGUCGGGAACAUUUGGAAGAGAGCCACCUUCACCUCUUCAUUUGUGUAUGGAGUACAUAAGAUAUCGUUCAUGCCCGCUGUCACCUUAACUGGAACAUGCGCCAUAACCUCUUCAAGUCUCGUAACUCCUUCAGAUGUGUUUAGCGUCUUGUAAAAGUCAUUAACCAUCUCCUUGAGCUCUCCUGGAUCCUCAAUGAGCGCUCCCAGCGAAUUUGCUAAGGCCUUCACCAUGUUUUUCUUGCGCCUGAUACUCGCUCUGAGAUGAAAAACCGAGUAUUCUUAUCUCCUGCAGCGAGCCACUCGAUCCUAGAUCUCUGUCGCCACAUCAAUUCCUCCCGGUGAUACAGCUCCACGAGUUUAUCAUUGAUUUUUGUCUCCACGUGUGAAGGCCCAGUCCUCCCGGCGUCACCCCUUAGCCGGUCCAACUCUAUUUUUAGGGCACGAAUCUCUUUGCGUACACUGCCAAAAGUGUCCUUGUUCCACCUCGACAGAUCAGUUUCUAGUUCCGUUAGCUUGCGCCGGAUCUCCUCUACUGUGUGUCCGGGAUGUUUGGAACUCCAUUUUUCCAGGAUUGUGUCCUUCCAAUGCUCAUGCGUUUCCCACAUAGUUUCAUACCUGAAACCUUUGCGUCCCUUAGGCGCAUUGGGCUCAUUUAUUUCCAACAAGAUUGGACAAUGAUCUGAUGUAGCAGCUGUCAGAUGGGACAAACUCGCUAGAGGAAACUGAGCGCUCCACUCGGCCGAUCUAAGAGCCCUAUCCAGUCUAACUCGGGUGAAAGUGACACCUGCCACCUUCUUCUCAAAUGUCCAAAAGCGGCCUCUAUACCCCAAAUCCAUCGACAUGCACGCGUCGAUGAUGUCUCGAAAACCCUGGAUCUGAGCAUUGCUACGCUGCCCCACACCCUCGUGCUCGUCCGGACGCAGGACUUCAUUAAAAUCGCCUAUGCACAACCACGGCAGUGUGCUUGUACUGCUUAUGUUUUUUAGCACAGUCCAUGUUUGAUGCCUCAGAUGUGUUUGCGCUUCCCCGUACACACAUGUCAACCGCCAAGGAUCCUUCCCGGGGUCAAGAAAUGAGCAAUCAAUAUGGUAAACAGAAUAACCCAGAAUCUCAACUUUUAUUGGAUUGUUCCAAAAAAUUCCAAUGCCACCACUCCUUCCUUGAGUAUCUAUAGCAAAACUAUUAUCAUAAUCCAACGUUCCAGCAAGUGAUUCUACCCUACCUCUCUCAAUCUGAGUUUCUACAAUACAGAGAAUAGGGGGGGCAAACUUCUUCGCUACCUCACGAAGCUCGUUAACUGUCGCUGCAUUUCCCACACCACGACAGUUCCAGCAUAGGGUAUUCAUUGAUCCCGUCGACCCUCCAAGUUGGAGGACGCUGAUAUGUUCUCUUCAAACUUGGACACCAACGAGACCUUUGGAGCAGUCUCUGCACAUGCAACAGUCUUGGCCCUCUUGGGUUCCUGUUUGGAGCUCGGGCUGACCGCCAGAGGUGGAGCUAAGAGCAGAAGAGUCCCCGCCGUCGUACUCGGUCCUGCAUGCGCCACCUGCGCCUGGGGGUUUGAGGUUUGGUUCUUGUCAACAACGUCGCCCUUGGUGCGCUUGCGGCUAUCAUUGAAGGAAAUAUGCCCUAGAGGCAAUAAUAAAGUUAUUAUUUAUUUCCUUAUUUCAUGAUAAAUGUUUAUCAUUCAUGCUAGAAUUGUAUUAACCGGAAACAUAAUACUUGUGUGAAUACAUAGACAAACAGAGUGUCACUAGUAUGCCUCUACUUGACUAGCUCGUUGAUCAAAGAUGGUUAUGUUUCCUAUCACAUCAUUAGGAGAAUGAUGUGAUUGACUUGACCCAUUCCGUUAGCUUAGCACUCGAUCGCUUAGUAUUCUGCUAUUGCUUUCUUCAUGACUUAUACAUGUUCCUAUGACUAUGAGAUUAUGCAACUCCCGUUUAUCGGAGGAACACUUUGUGUGCUACCAAACGUCACAACGUAACUGGGUGAUUAUAAAGGUGCUCUACAGGUGUCUCCGAAGGUACUUGUUGGGUUGGCGUAUUUCGACAUUAGGAUUUGUCACUCCGAUUGUCGGAGAGGUAUCUCUGGGCCCACUCGGUAAUGCACAUCACUAUAAGCCUUGCAAGCAUUGUAACUAAUGAGUUAGUUGCGGGAUGAUGUAUUACGGAACGAGUAAAGAGACUUGUCGGUAACGAGAUUGAACUAGGUAUUGAGAUACCGACGAUCGAAUCUCGGGCAAGUAACAUACCGAUGACAAAGGGAACAACGUAUGUUGUUAUGCGGUUUGACCGAUAAAGAUCUUCGUAGAAUAUGUGGGAGCCAAUAUGAGCAUCCAGGUUCCGCUAUUGGUUAUUGACCGGAGACGUGUCUCGGUCAUGUCUACAUAGUUCUCGAACCCGUAGGGUCCGCACGAUUAAAGUUUGAUGACGGUUAUAUUAUGAUUUUAUGUGUUUUGAUGUACCGAAGAUAAUUCGGAGUCCCGGAUGUGAUCACGGACAUGACGAGGAGUCUCGAAAUGGUCGAGACAUAAAGAUUGAUAUAUUGGAAGCCUAUAUUUGGAUAUCGGAAGUGUUCCGGGUGAAAUCGGGAUUUUACCGGAGUACCGGGGGUUACCGGAACCCCCCUGGGGGUUUAAUGGGCCUACAUGGGCCUUAGUGGAGAAGAGGAGGGGCGGCCAGGGCAGGCCGCGCGCCCCCUCCCCCUCUAGUCCGAAUUGGACAAGGAGGGGGGCGGCGCCCCCCUUUCCUUCCUCUCUCCCUCCUCCUUCCCCCUUCUCCUACUCCAACUAGGAAAGGAGGGAGUCCUACUCCCGGUGGGAGUAGGACUCGUCCUGGCGCGCCUCCUCCUGGCCGGCCGCCUCUCCCUCCCUUGAUCCUUUAUAUACAGGGGCAAGGGGGCACCACAUAGACACGACAACUGAUCUCUUAAUCUCUUAGCCGUGUGCGGUGCCCCCCUCCACCAUAAUCCACCUCGAUAAUAUCGUAGCGAUGCUUAGGCGAAGCCCUGCGUCGGUAGAACAUCAUCAUCAUCACCACACCGUCGUGCUGAUGGAACUCUCCCUCAAAGCUCGGCUGGAUCGGAGUUCGAGGGACGUCAUCGAGCUGAACGUGUGCUGAACUCGGAGGUGUCGUGCGUUCGGUACUUGAUCAGUCGGAUCGUGAAGACGUACGACUACAUCAACCGCGUUGUGCUAACGCUUCCGCUUUCGGUCUACGAGGGUACGUGGACAACACUCUCCCCUCUCGUUGCUAUGCAUCACCAUGAUCUUGCGUGUGCGUAGGAAUUUUUUUGAAAUUACUACGUUCCCCAACAGUGGCAUCCGAGCCUGGUUUUAUGCGUAGAUGUUAUAUGCACGAGUAGAACACAAGUGAGUUGUGGGCGAUAUAAGCCAUACUGCUUACCAACAUGUCAUACUUUGGUUCGGCGGUAUUGUUGGAUGAAGCGGCCCGGACCGACAUUACGCUUACGCUUACGCGAGACUGGUUCUACCGACGUGCUUUGCACACAGGUGGCUGGCGGGUGUCAGUUUCUCCAACUUUAGUUGAACCGAGUGUGGCUAUGCCCGGUCCUUGAGAAGGUUAAAACAGCACUAACUUGACAAACUAUCGUUGUGGUUUUGAUGCGUAGGUAAGAACGGUUCUUGCUCAGCCCGUAGCAGCCACGUAAAACUUGCAACAACAAGGUAGAGGGCGUCUAACUUGUUUUUGCAGGGCAUGUUGUGAUGUGAUAUGGUCAAGGCAUGAUGUUAAUUUUAUUGUAUGAGAUGAUCAUGUUUUGUAACCGAGUUAUCGGCAACUGGCAGGAGCCAUAUGGUUGUCGCUUUAUUGUAUGCAAUGCAAUCGCCCUGUAAUGCUUUACUUUAUCACUAAGCGGUAGCGAUAGUCGUAGAAGCAUAAGUUGGCGAGACGACAACGAUGCUACGAUGGAGAUCAAGGUGUCGCGCCGGUGACGAUGGUGAUCAUGACGGUGCUUCGAAGAUGGAGAUCACAAGCACAAGAUGAUGAUGGCCAUAUCAUAUCACUUAUAUUGAUUGCAUGUGAUAUUUAUCUUUUAUGCAUCUUAUCUUGCUUUGAUUGACGGUAGCAUUAUAAGAUGAUCUCUCACUAAAUUAUCAAGGUAUAAGUGUUCUCACUGAGUAUGCACCGUUGCGAAAGUUCUUCGUGCUGAGACACCACGUGAUGAUCGGGUGUGAUAGGCUCUACGUUCAAAUACAACGGGUGCAAAACAGUUGCACACGCGGAAUACUCAGGUUAAACUUGACGAGCCUAGCAUAUGCAGAUAUGGCCUCGGAACACUGAGACCGAAAGGUUGACCGUGAAUCAUAUAGUAGAUAUGAUCAACAUAGUGAUGUUCACCAUUGAAACUACUCCAUCUCACGUGAUGAUCGGACAUGGUUUAGUUGAUUUGGAUCACGUGAUCACUUAGAGGAUUAGAGGGAUGUCUAUCUAAGUGGGAGUUCUUAAGUAAUAUGAUUAAUUGAACUUAAAUUUAUCAUGAACUUAGUACCUGAUAGUAUUUUGCUUGUCUAUGUUGAUUGUAGAUAGAUGGCCCGUGCUGUUGUUCCGUUGAAUUUUAAUGCGUUCCUUGAGAAAGCAAAGUUGAAAGAUGAUGGUAGCAAUUACACGGACUGGGUCCGUAACUUGAGGAUUAUCCUCAUUGCUUCACAUAAGAAUUACGUCCUGGAAGCACCGCUAGGUGCCAGACCUGCUGCAGGAGCAACACCAGAUGUUAUGAACGUCUGGCAGAGCAAAGCUGAUGACUACUCGAUAGUUCAGUGUGCCAUGCUUUACGGCUUAGAACCGGGACUUCAACGACGUUUUGAACGUCAUGGAGCAUAUGAGAUGUUCCAGGAGUUGAAGUUAAUAUUUCAAGCAAAUGCCCCGAUUGAGAGAUAUGAAGUCUCCAAUAAGUUCUACGGCUGCAAGAUGGAGGAGAAUAGUUCUGUCAGUGAACAUAUACUCAGAAUGUCUGGGUAUAACAAUCACUUGAUUCAACUGGGAGUUAAUCUUCCGGAUGAUAGUGUCAUUGACAGAAUUCUUCAAUCACUGCCACCAAGCUACAAAAGCUUCGUGAUAAACUAUAAUAUGCAAGGGAUGGAUAAGACAAUUCCCGAGCUCUUCACAAUGCUAAAGGCUGUGGAGGUAGAAAUCAAGAAGGAGCAUCAAGUGUUGAUGGUCAACAAAACCACCAGUUUCAAGAAAAAGGCAAAGGGAAGAAGAAGGGGAACUUCAAGAAGAACAGCAAACAAGUUGCUGCUCAGGAGAAGAAACCCAAGUCUGGACCUAAGCAUGAGACUGAGUGCUUCUACUACAAACAGACUGGUCACUGGAAGCGGAACUGCCCCAAGUAUUUGGCGGAUAAGAAGGAUGGCAAGGUGAACAAAGGUAUAUGUGAUAUACAUGUUAUUGAUGUGUACCUUACUAAUGCUCGCAGUAGCACCUGGGUAUUUGAUACUGGUUCUGUUGCUAAUAUUUGCAACUCGAAACAGGGACUACGGAUUAAGCGAAGAUUGGCUAAGGGCGAGGUGACGAUGCGCGUGGGAAACGGUUCCAAAGUCGAUGCGAUCACGGUCGGCACGCUACCUCUACAUCUACCUUCGGGAUUAGUUUUAGACCUGAAUAAUUGUUAUUUGGUGCCAGCGUUGAGCAUGAACAUUAUAUCUGGAUCUUGUUUGAUGCGAGAUGGUUAUUCAUUUAAAUCAGAGAAUAAUGGUUGUUCUAUUUAUAUGAGUAAUAUCUUUUAUGGUCAUGCACCCUUGAAGAGUGGUCUAUUUUUGUUGAAUCUCGAUAGUAGUGAUACACGUAUUCAUAAUAUUGAAGCCAAAAGAUGCAGAGUUAAUAAUGAUAGUGUAACUUAUUUGUGGCACUGCCGUUUAGGUCAUAUUGGUGUAAAGCGCAUGAAGAAACUCCAUACUGAUGGACUUUUGGAACCACUUUAUUAUGAAUCACUUGGUACUUGCGAACCAUGCCUCAUGGGCAAGAUGACUAAAACGCCGUUCUCCGGAACUAUGGAGCGAGCAACAGAUUUGUUGGAAAUCAUACAUACAGAUGUAUGUGGUCCAAUGAAUGUUGAGGCUCGCGGCGGGUAUCGUUAUUUUCUCACCUUCACAGAUGAUUUAAGCAGAUAUGGGUAUAUCUACUUAAUGAAACAUAAGUCUGAAACAUUUGAAAAGUUCAAAGAAUUUCAGAGUGAAGUUGAAAAUCAUCGUAACAAGAAAAUAAAGUUUCUACGAUCUGAUCGUGGAGGAGAAUAUUUGAGUUACGAGUUUGGUCUACAUUUGAAACAAUGCGGAAUAGUUUCGCAACUCACGCCACCCGGAACACCACAGCGUAAUGGUGUGUCCGAACGUCGUAAUCGUACUUUACUAGAUAUGGUGCGAUCUAUGAUGUCUCUUACUGAUUUACCGCUAUCAUUUUGGGGUUAUGCUUUAGAGACGGCUGCAUUCACGUUAAAUAGGGCACCAUCGAAAUCCGUUGAGACGACGCCUUAUGAACUGUGGUUUGGCAAGAAACCAAAGUUGUCGUUUCUUAAAGUUUGGUGUUGCGAUGCUUAUGUGAAAAAGCUUCAACCUGAUAAGCUCAAACCCAAAUCGAAGAAAUGUGUCUUCAUAGGAUACCCAAAGGAAACUGUUGGGUACACCUUCUAUCACAGAUCUGAAGGCAAGACUUUUGUUGCUAAAUUUGGAUCCUUUCUAGAGAAGGAGUUUCUCUCGAAAGAAGUGAGUGGGAGGAAAGUAGAACUUGAUGAGGUAACUGUACCUGCUCCCUUAUUGGAAAGUAGUUCAUCACAGAAACCGGUUCUUGUGACACCUACACCAAUUAGUGAGGAAGUUAAUGAUGAUGAUCAUGAAACUUCAGAUCAAGUUGUUACUGAACCUCGUAGAUCAACCAGAGUGGUACGGUAAUCCUGUUCUGGAGGUUAUGUUACUAGACCAUGACGAACCUAUGAACUAUGAAGAAGCGAUGGUGAGCCCAGAUUCCGCAAAAUGGCUUGAGGCCAUGAAAUCUGAGAUGGGAUCCAUGUAUGAGAACAAAGUGUGGACUUUGGUUAACUUGCCUGAUGAUCGGCAAGCCAUUGAGAAUAAAUGGAUCUUCAAGAAGAAGACUGACGCUGACGGUAAUGUUACUGUCUAUAAAGCUUGACUUUUUGCAAAAGGUUUUCGACAAGUUCAAGGGAUUGACUACGACGAGACUUUCUCACCCGUAGCGAUGCUUAAGUCUGUCCAAAUCAUGUUAGGAAUUGCCGCAUUUUAUGAUUAUGAAAUUUGGCAAAUGGAUGUCAAAACUGCAUUCCUGAAUGGAUUUCUAGAAGAAGAGUUGUAUAUGAUGCAACCAGAAGGUUUUGUCGAUCCAAAGGGAGCUAACAAAGUGUGCAAGCUCCAUUGAUCCAUUUAUGGACUGGUGCAAGCCUCUCGGAGUUGGAAUAAACGCUUUCAAAGCAUUUGGUUUUAUACAGACUUUUGGAGAAGCCUGUAUUUACAAGAAAGUGAGUGGGAGCUCUGUAGCAUUUCUGAUAUUAUAUGUGGAUGACAUAUUGCUGAUUGGAAAUGAUAUAGAAUUUCUGGAUAGCAUAAAGGGAUACUUGAAUAAGAGUUUUUCAAUGAAGGACCUCGGUGAAGCUGCUUACAUAUUGGGCAUCAAGAUCUAUAGAGAUAGAUCAAGACGCUUAAUUGGACUUUCACAAAGCACAUACCUUGACAAAGUUUUGAAGAAGUUCAAAAUGGAUCAAGCAAAAAAAGGGUUCUUGCCUGUGUUACAAGGUGUGAAGUUGAGUAAGACUCAAUGCCCGACCACUGCAGAAGAUAGAGAGAAGAUGAAAGAUAUUCCCUAUGCUUCAGCCAUAGGCUCUAUCAUGUAUGCAAUGCUGUGUAGCAGACCUGAUGUGUGCCUUGCUAUAAGUUUAGCAGGGAGGUACCAAAGUAAUCCAUGAGUGGAUCACUGGACAGCGGUCAAGAAUAUCCUGAAAUACCUGAAAAGGACUAAGGAUAUGUUUCUCGUUUAUGGAGGUGACAAAGAGCUAGUCGUAAAUGGUUACGUCGAUGCAAGCUUUGACACUAAUCCGGACGAUUCUAAAUCGCAAACCGGAUACGUGUUUACAUUGAACGGUGGAGCUGUCAGUUGGUGCAGUUCUAAACAAAGCAUUGUGGCAGGAUCUACGUGUGAAGCGGAGUACAUAGUUGCUUCGGAAGCAGCAAAUGAAGGAGUCUGGAUGAAGGAGUUCAUAUCCGAUCUAGGUGUCAUACCUAGUGCAUCGGGUCCAAUGAAAAUCUUUUGUGACAAUACUGGUGCAAUUGCCUUGGUAAAGGAAUCCAGAUUUCACAAGAGAACCAAGCACAUCAAGAGACGCUUCAACUCCAUCCGGAAUCUAGUCCAGGUGGGAGACAUAGAAAUUUGCAAGAUACAUACGGAUCUGAAUGUUGCAGACCCGUUGACUAAGCCUCUUCCACGAGCAAAACAUGAUCAGCACCAAGGCUCCAUGGGUGUUAGAAUCAUUACUAUGCAAUCUAGAUUAUUGACUCUAGUGCAAGUGGGAGACUAAAGGAAAUAUGCCCUAGAGGAAAUAAUAAAGUUAUUAUUUAUUUCCUUAUAUCAUGAUAAAUGUUUAUUAUUCAUGCUAGAAUUGUAUUAACCGGAAACAUAAUACUUGUGUGAAUACAUAGACAAACAGAGUGUCACUAGUAUGCCUCUACUUGACUAGCUCGUUGAUCAAAGAUGGUUAUGUUUCCUAACCAUUGACAUGAGUUGUCAUUUGAUUAACGGGAUCACAUCAUUAGGAGAAUGAUGUGAUUGACUUGACCCAUUCUGUUAGCUUAGCACUCGAUCUUUUAGUAUUUUGCUAUUGCUUUCUUCAUGACUUAUACAUGUUCCUAUGACUAUGAGAUUAUGCAACUCCCGUUUACCGGAGGAACACUUUAUGUGCUACCAAACGUCACAACGUAACUGGGUGAUUAUAAAGGUGCUCUACAGGUGUCUCCGAAGGUACUUGUUGGGUUGGCGUAUUUCGACAUUAGGAUUUGUCACUCCGAUUGUCGGAGAGGUAUCUCUGGGCCCACUCGGUAAUGCACAUCACUAUAAGCCUUGCAAGCAUUGUAACUAAUGAGUUAGUUGCGGGAUGAUGUAUUACGGAACGAGUAAAGAGACUUGUCGGUAACGAGAUUGAACUAGGUAUUGAGAUACCGACGAUCGAAUCUCGGGCAAGUAACAUACCGAUGACAAAGGGAACAACGUAUGUUGUUAUGCGGUUUGACCGAUAAAGAUCUUCGUAGAAUAUGUGGGAGCCAAUAUGAGCAUCCAGGUUCCGCUAUUGGUUAUUGACCGGAGACGUGUCUCGGUCAUGUCUACAUAGUUCUCGAACCCGUAGGGUCCACACGCUUAAAGUUUGAUGACGGUUAUAUUAUGAGUUUAUGUGUUUUGAUGUACCGAAGAUAGUUCGAAGUCCCGGAUGUGAUCACGGACAUGACGAGGAGUCUCAAAAUAGUCGAGACAUAAGGAUUGAUAUAUUGGAAGCCUAUAUUUGGAUAUCGGAAGUGUUCCGGGUGAAAUCGGGAUUUUACCGGAGUACCCGGGGUUACCGGACCCCCCCCGGGGGUUUAAUGGGCCUACAUGGGCCUUAGUGGAGAAGAGGAGGGGCGGCAGGGCAGGCCGCGCGCCCCCUCCCCCUCUAGUCCGAAUUGGACAAGGAGGGGGGGCAGCGCCCCCCUUUCCUUCCUCUCUCCCUCCUCCUCCCCCCUUCUCCUACUCCAACUAGGAAAGGAGGGAGUCCUACUCCCGAUGGGAGUAGGACUCCUCCUGGCGCGCCUCCUCCUGGCCGGCCGCCUCUCCCUCCCUUGCUCCUUUAUAUACAGGGGCAAGGGGGCACCCCAUAGACACGACAACUGAUCUCUUGAUCUCUUAGCCGUGUGCGGUGCCCCCCUCCACCAUAAUCCACCUCGAUAAUAUCGUAGUGGUGCUUAGGCGAAGCCCUGCGUCGGUAGAACAUCAUCAUCGUCACCACGCCGUCGUGCUGACGGAACUCUCCCUCAAAGCUCGGCUGGAUCGGAGUUCGAGGGACGUCAUCGAGCUGAACGUGUGCUGAACUCGGAGGUGCCGUGCGUUCGGUACUUGAUCGGUCGGAUCGUGAAGACGUACGACUACAUCAACCGCGUUGUGCUAACACUUCCACUUUCGGUCUACGAGGGUACGUGGACAACACUCUCCCCUCUCGUUGCUAUGCAUCACCAUGAUCUUGCGUGUGCGUAGGAAUUUUUUUGAAAUUACUACGUUCCCCAACCUCUGUCAUCGUGGUAUCAUGUGUCAUGCCCUCUUCUGAAUAGUCAGCCGGUGCCGAUCCUCCCCCACCUGAUUGGCCUGCACGCCCCACACCUCUGUCGCGGCCACCGCGGCCACCCCGUCCAGCAAAACGAUUCUGACCAGGCCCCGGAGCAGCCCCUCUGAACCACUCUGCACGCAGCUCCUUAACAACUAGCGCUGAUUUAGGGUGUAUGCCGUCGCCGUGUUCCUUGAACUGGUGCCCUAGGUGGCCAAAAACGGCGCACCAAUCCGGGAGCCUCUCGUACUUGACCUUGAAAAUUUGCCGCUCCUCCUUGUGAACCAGACUGACAGCAUUCUUUAGGGGUUUGAACACAUUGAUUUUGAUCCUCACCCUAUAAAAGUUCCCUUCAAAGUCAUGUGACUUAGGCUCAGCAUAAACAACCUCUCCCACCUUCCUGGCAAGGGCUUUUAAGAGAGGAUAGAAACCAUCAGGCAAAUCGUGCACUUGCAUCCACAGCUCCAAUGUAUCCAGCUUCAUUAGCGAGGGUUUUGUAAAUCCAUCGUAUUCAGCCAUUAUCACCGCGUUGCCCUUGUAGUUCAGGGCCCUUCCUGCAUAGCACGCUCCCAGUCACCCAGGCACGUAAAUUGCAAUGUAUAUAGGUUCUCCUCAAGAGGGCGAAUCUGCACUGGCUGCGCAAGAUCCCAUGCCGCUCUCAUCAUCUUGUAGAAACCAUAUUGACUGUACUUCUUCUCCGUGUGGACACGCGCUAUGGCCAUCCAUCUAGUCGUCUCUGGCGGCAAUGGAUCUUCCUUCUCCACCACCACAUCAUCCAUGUCCUCCUCCUGGAGGCCCAGCUCGCUCAUCAACACUUCCAGGUCCCGUGUCUUGGAGUUCGACGCCGACGCCGCCAUGUUGUUCCCUGACCCGAGAAGAUUUUUCGAUCGGGUGUUCGGCCAAAGCCCUAGCCUAACCCCGAACCAAAGAGACGGACGCCAAGACCGGGCAGCGCUGCCAGAGCGCCCCUUGAUCGGUCCGAGCGCAGCCCUUCGGCGGAGACGGAGGAAGGGUAGCGGGAACCCUACGGUGACGAUCGAGUCGCCGCGAGGGGAGAAGAAACCCUAGCGAGAUGGUAUCCACGUAGGAUCCUUGCUGCUUGAUGGAUGGAUAGCGCGGGUGCAAUUGUUCAUAAAAGUUUCGCGCUGUAACACGGAAGCAAUUUUUUUGGAUUUUUUUCGCGCUAUAUAUAGGCUACGUGUUUCUGGGCCGGCCCACGAGGUACGCCAGUUCCAUAAACCGGCGCAUAAAAUGUCAAAAGAAAAGACAAAGGCAGAGGUAUUGCUCGUUUUCUGAUUCUCCCCAAACCCGAACGCACGCGCAGCCGCCGCUGGCGCUGCUCGCCUGUCCCCGCCUCCCCCCAUCCCGCGGUCCGCCGGCGCUGCUCCUACGGCCCCAUCUCCAAGGCUGUCGCCGUCUGGCGGCUAGCCCAGUCCCCGGUCGCCGUGUUGCAGGCUUUGGUCCAUCUCGGUUCAGGUGAAAUUUCAGGCAGCCUGCAGCCGGCAACGGUUUUACAUACUCCAGUGCUUGCUAGUAAUAUUUCGUAUCAUGUGUGUGCGCCCAGUGCCCAAGUGUGUCAUGCUUUGGUGCUCGAAUUGAACAGCAGACGUAGAGAUUCUGUUAUGCGUGAUUGUGCAGGACACUUUUGUUGUCAAUUGUUGAGAAAUUGUCAAAUAGAAGAUGAAACAGACCAUUGAUUUGGUACUAGCAAGCAUCUCUGUAUUGCAUUACUAGCAAGCAUCUUUCUAUUGUAUUACUGGCAAGCAUUCUCCAGCUGACAAUACAAAAUCGUCUUGCACAGUACUAUUACUAACCGUGCCUUCUCUGUUGCUGUAGGGACAGUUAAGCCAUUGGCCGUCCAAGCUUGGCGUGCAGUCGGAAUCUCCUUAAGUUGAUGUUCGUGUGCAAGCAUGCUGGAGGAGACGCUGCAGGGUUAGUAAUGCAGCCACAAUCUGCUUAUGAUACGCAUAAAGCUCUGAGUCCAGUGGAUCAGUAAAUCUUCCUUCAUGAUAAGCAUAACUAACUCAAGACCUCGGUUUCCCUUCACCAGGUGUGAGUUUAGCUGUUCAUGCUUCUAGGCCUCUCCAAACGGAGGCGUGGCACGACUUCCUGCGCUCGCCGUUGGGUUUGCCCAUGGACAACUUCGGCCAUGCACAAGCACAGACAUCUACUCUGGUACCAUUUCAGCAGCCAUUUACCAUCAUUGUCAUCGAUUCGUCUGUGUGUGGCGAAUUUUGGCAGUCACUUACCAUCUGAGAGAUCAACAAAGCAAGAGGGGCGCGGCAUACAUGAUGCAUUGAGAGUUUUGCACCUGGUGCCAGGGAAGGCAUAUAAUGGCAAAGAGGAAGGUUUGUCUCAUCACCGCAUUAUCAAUGAUUGUAUGCAUGACAUCUUGGGAGUUCAGUUAGGAAAUCAUGGUAUGCAUAAUGGAGAAGUGCGGUUCGCUAGCUCAAGCAAUAACACAGAGCAAAUUUUACCUGAUACCAUUGAUUCUCAUGAUAUCUCUGCUUCUCCUUCCAUGAAUAAACUCGCAAAGGGAAACAAGUUUGUGCUACUUGUGGAGUUGCAUAGGAAAGGAAUAAGUGCCGAUAUAUCUAUUUUAGCAUCUGCCAUGAGCUUUUGUGCUGUUAAGCAAUCCAUUAGGACAGGUGCUCAGCUCCAUGCUCUACUGGUGAAAGUUGGUUAUGAAUUGUCGGUACUUUCUGGUACUUCUCUGAUUAGCUUAUAUGCAAGAUGUUCUCAGCUGGAGAAUGCUUGUCAGGUUUUUCAGAGCAUGCCAAUAAAAAAUACUGUGUCGUGGACAGCACUCAUUUCUGGUUAUGCACAGGAUAAUCAGGUUGAGCCAUGCCUCAAGGUAUUUCAGCUGAUGAGGCAGUCAGCGUGCAGACCUAAUGACAUCACAUUUGCCACUAUCUUCAGUGUGUGCACUAAUCACGCACUUCUUGCACUUGGUAAGAGUGUUCACGGUCUAGAACUAAGAAUGGGUUUUGAUUUGUGUGUGCAUGUCUCGAAUGCACUGAUAUCAAUGUAUGCAAAGUGUGGGAAUAUAAUUGAGGCCCAAUCAAUAUUUGAGAGCAUUGUGUGCAAGGACCUGGUUUCUUGGAACUCUAUGAUCUUUGGAUAUGCACAGCAUGGCCUUGCUGAGCAUUGUCUAAGCUUACUAAAAGAAAUGGAGGAGGAGCACAUAGUGCCUGAUGUAAUCUCCUUCCUUGGCAUCCUGUCAUCAUGUCGGCAUGCAUGCCUUGUAGAGGAAGGCCGGCGCUGCUUCAAGGCAAUGAUCGGACUUGGAAUAGAACCAGAGUUAGAUCACUAUUCGUGUAUGGUAGACCUCCUCGGCCGGGCAGGAUUGCUCGAUGAAGCGUGGGAUUUGAUCCGUACAAUGUCCACGCCCCCAAAUGCAGUCAUAUGGGGUUCUCUGCUGGCUGCCUGUAGGAUGCAUGGAAACAUUCCGAUUGGCAUCCAUGCUGCAGAGCACCGUCUUAAGCUGGAGCCAGGUUGUGCUGCAACUCAUGUACAGCUAGCAAAUCUAUACGCUAGCAUUGAUUGCUGGAGUGAUGUGGCCAGAGUGAGGAUGAUGAUGAAGGAGGGAGGACUGAAGACGAACACUGGAUGCAGCUGGAUAGAAAUUGGCAGUGAAGUUUAUACUUUCACAGCAGAAAACAGAUCUAAAAGCCACCAAAUAAACAAUGUCCUGGCUGUUCUUGACUUCUUGCGAUCUCAUAUGGAAUACAAAUAUGAUGUGCUGAUAGAUGGUUUUGAGUUUGAUGACCCUCAGUAGUUCAAGGUAAGUUUGAGCUCUGAAUAAAGUAUUGGGAGAUGAUAGAUCGCCGCAGUCAUUUGUAUGAAGAUCAAAGAGUCAAUUCUAUAGAAAAAGCAUGACUCACACCUCAGAGACUUGCGAUAUGAUUCGUCCGAUUCGUACCUCAAAGUAUUCAAUAUUGUACUGCAUUAGAAACAGUAGAGUUUUCCCACCUGACAUCUGAUUUGAAUUUUGAUGCUCAAUGUAUUCUUAUACGCACUUGAUGUUUUAAACCAGGAUACACUAGUAAUUAGACUAGGCUACACUAGUAAUUAGUGCGAACCAUUUGGGAACUUUAUAUGUAAAUUUGAACCAAAUAUAAGAAAAGGUUGGCUUGAUUGACUAGAUAAGGUUUGAUGGAUAUUUUUUCUCUGCUAUUUUGGAUUGGUCUGAAUAAUGUAAAUUACAUCAUAAUUUCAGUUUGACACUUGGAAAUUACUUCUUGAUUGCAACUUAUGGUCAAAUUAAUCCCCUAACCGUCCUUCUAAUAAUUACUUCCUCCUUCCCAAAAUAUAAAGCAUGGUUGAUUUUUCACGGUCUUUGAUGCAUGGCUUUGACCAUCAUAAAGCAUGGUGUACCCAAAAUAUAAAGCAUUGCAGUAUAUAUCAAAGUGCAUUUAUUGAACAUGUAUAAAUAGUAUUGUCAUAUUUGUCUUGUAAAAUAAUUUUAGUUCAUCUGUCUUUAUAUUAAUUUGGUAGACAUGCAAUAAGUAAAAGUCCUAGUCAAAGUUGUGUGAUGAAGACCAAAAAAAGUCAAGCGCGCCUUAUAUUUUGUGAAGGGAGGAAUAUCUCUUAGUUGCAUUCUUGUGGGUAUGUUUAUGGUUUUUCCUUUUAGUGGUUUUUAGAAGAAAUAGAUUUAAUAAUGGGUAAUCCUCUAUUUUACUUAGUUCUGUCCUACUAUGUUAGUAUAUUUCACUACAAUCUCCUCUAACCUGUAAGGCUUCAUUCGGUUAGAACCCACCCUGCUGGGAUCGGGGCCAAACCCCAUGGUUUCAUCCCACCCGGGGUUUCAUCCCGGUCAAUCUUAUAGGUGUGUUCGGUUAAGCCCGGCGUGGAUUGUAAUCCUGUCUCAUAUAAACUGUUAUAUAUUCAAGUAUUGCUUCUGAAUUUCAUACACCUCCAAAACCCUCGGUUUUCACCGGGAUUGUACCCCUGACUUACAAUUUUAUUCUAGUAUUGCUUCUGAAUUUCAUGCACAGAGCACAUUGGUAAAUUGUCUAACAGUUCCAUUUUGUGUAAAGCAGUACUUUCUGACCAGUGCUGCAUCAGCAUAUGAACUGCUAUAUAUUUCACACCAUUAUUGGGAUGGGAUCAGUGGGGAUUGAGUGAGGGGUUGGGGAUCACCUAGAGGAUUAAAUCCACUGCAACCGAACAAGGCCUAAGCCGGGUCAAAAGCCAGGCUUUUCCUUGCUAACUGAAGUAAAUUGACAGCAAAGUACAUAAUCACAAAACUAUAAAGACACUUAUUGUGAAUCCCAAACUUAUAAACCAUUGGACAUGCUGUCGACCAUAUUUAUAAACUUAACAUCCAGAAUACGUUGGCACCUUGCACAUGAGCAGAGGGUCUAGGUCUUGACCAUCAAAAGUACAAAUUAUUGUUGGCAAGCAACUCCAUGAUAGCAAUCAAAGAUUGUUCUUGGAGAUAACAUCCAUUAAAUCUAGUAGCUAAGACCAAAAGCAUACUUCAGCGCUCAGGCAUGAACAAUACGACCGGUUCCGUCUAGCAUUUGGUAAAGUUUCAGUCGCUUCCAACCACCGAUGAUGGGGAAACCGCGCGAUUCAGCAGAAGAACAUGGACGAUGCUAUCGUGGGAUGCAGACGAGGCAGCUCCGGCACCGGGGCAGCCUCAGCCUGGGACGACGUCUCCGACAUGUCAUUGAGCCUGGUGAACUUGGCCACCUGCGCCCCGCAAGGUGUGCGUAGAAGAUGGGAGCAACUGAGAGGGAAAAUCAGAUGAUCAACCAUGCCCUUUUGGCGUAUGUUGCGAAAUCAAGUAAUGGCAAAUCAUGCUUACCAGCUGUGAUGGCUGUGGUGCUCCUGAAACGAGUUCACAAGCAUAAAAAUGUCAGAGGAAUGCACCGAUGAUCGUCAGAGGCAAAGUAAGGGCUGAAUCUUUUGCAACUACUUCAGUGCACAUACGCAUAGGAAAGGGAGUGGACAAGCUCCUGCAGCUCAUCAGCGGAGAAGCCUGUCUCAUCUUGGAGCACAUGGUAGUGUGUUGGCCUUGUAGUCCCCUGGAAUAUACAACCAGAAUGACUUGGAUUGUAUUCCCUCCGUCCCAUAAUAUAAGAGCGUUUUUUACACUACACUAGGGAUAUGAUAAGAUUGUAUGUGUAGAAAAGCCUAGGAAUUGCUCGUUUAAUCCUAUACAAAAUUGUAAAUAAUGGUUCUGUGGUAGGUGUUUAGAUUCCUAUGAGAUGCAUUUGGUUUCGUAUGAAUGCUACAGUACCCCCAUUAAAAAGUACUCCCUCUGUUCCAUAUUACUUGUCGUGGUUUUAGUUCAAAUUUGAACUAAAACCACGACAAGUAAUAUGAAACGGAGGGAGUACAUACAAAUCAAACAACCUAACAAUAGCCAAGGAUUGCAAUCCUCCACAAAAAUUGGAAGAUUAGAAAAAAUAUUUAGAUAAAAGAUGUAGGUUACCAGGGGGGGCAUUAGUCACUUGAUCAGGUCUCUGUCCAUUCCGUAGGAAAAAUCUCGUGUGAUGAUUCUUCUGUGCAACCAUCACUGUGAACUUGGGGAACCAGUUGCCACUAAAGUGCUUGCCACCAAAAAACUUGCAUGUCUGUAUCAAUUAGGUAGGCAUUACUAUCCAGGACUGGCUCAUGAGGAAUUGGAUAUCACUUAUGUUUACCUCCAUGAUUUGAGCUAGCUCAUCGUUCAGCACCUGAUUGAAUUGGCUCUCGCUAACACCAUCCCUAACAUAAGACAACAGAGUUUCCUUAGACAGAAUCAGGGUGCCAAAGUAAACUUAGAGAUGGCAUCGAGUAUUUAGAGUCAGUUUGUACUCUUAACAUCAAGGGACAACACACAAUUAAUUCAGCAAUUUCUACAGAAAAAUUAUGCUAUUUAAAUGCAGAAACCACUGUCAGUUAGCGUUUGCGCACACUUAUCUCACGGAGGACUACUGACCUGAAAAUGAUAAUUUGUUCCGGCUUCUGACCAUUGUUGUUUUUGAGGAAGUCAACUACUGAAUCCCUGAAAUGUUAUUGUCCCAGUGAGCAACAAAUUAAAAGCAUACGUAUAAUUAGGAAGCACUGUUAUUAAAAUUGUAUAAAUUGCACUUAUAUAAAAUCUGAGCAGAAGAAACUCACUUAAUGAGGACAUGAUCGUCAUCUCCAACUGGCGUAAACAAGGUAUCGAUCAUUUCCAGCCUGGAUGACUGAGUGCACACAGAAGCUCUGUAGUUUGAAAUGAUUGGCCACUUCAAUGAACUAACCACCUAGGCCAAAGCAACAAACACCCAGGUGGGUUAGCAAAUUGUCGGUUGAAACUCUCUUCAGGACCAUCAGCUGACACCUGAGUUUUUACUGCAUGAAACUGAAUACAUAAUAAGCAAAACUUGCUGCAGCAGCCGAUGGCACGUCAGACCGUCCUGGUGAACCAUGGGAAACAUCCAUACCAAAGAUGAUGAUUCGAACCCUCGAUACAUGAGGAAUAGCACAGGUUGUUUCAUUUUUCAGCAAUGAAUUCAACCCGCCAAGCUGAUUGGCAGCACAAAACAAAAGCAAAGCAUCCAGUUGUUCAGCUAAAAGAAAUCCAAAUUAUGUGGUACAUUGAAGAUGGCAAUGCAGAUCACACUGCAAACCUUGGCAUUUAUCUUUAGCAGCACAUUUUGUGAGGUACUGAUCUUUGACGUUGGCAGGAGGAACCAAGCAUCGCGUCAAAAUACCAUACCGCGCAAGGCAUCCGCGCUUCCAUGGUCUGACAAGAAGAAAAAAGGCUUGGAUGCCAGGUAGGCAUAAUGAAGCUUAUUUGCAAGGCUGGGUUAAAAGAGCAAACCAUAUAUGUCACAGUUCUUCCUCUUCUCGGGAAAAACGUACAGGAGAAACUCUGGUUUGUUUGGGAAGCGUCACGUUGCACUUAAUUCUUUCUUGUUUGUAGGCAAGUGAAAGAUGUGAUUUUAUGUUUACUUUGGACUAUCUACUUUUAUGCAGCCCCAACAUCUUUNNNNNNNNNNNNNNNNNNNNNNNNNNNNNNNNNNNNNNNNNNNNNNNNNNNNNNNNNNNNNNNNNNNNNNNNNNNNNNNNNNNNNNNNNNNNNNNNNNNNNNNNNNNNNNNNNNNNNNNNNNNNNNNNNNNNNNNNNNNNNNNNNNNNNNNNNNNNNNNNNNNNNNNNNNNNNNNNNNNNNNNNNNNNNNNNNNNNNNNNNNNNNNNNNNNNNNNNNNNNNNNNNNNNNNNNNNNNNNNNNNNNNNNNNNNNNNNNNNNNNNNNNNNNNNNNNNNNNNNNNNNNNNNNNNNNNNNNNNNNNNNNNNNNNNNNNNNNNNNNNNNNNNNNNNNNNNNNNNNNNNNNNNNNNNNNNNNNNNNNNNNNNNNNNNNNNNNNNNNNNNNNNNNNNNNNNNNNNNNNNNNNNNNNNNNNNNCAACCAUUGUACAUGCCCUAAGUAAACAAACAAACAAACAAACACACAUCCAAGUGAGAUGCAAGAAAAGGCUUGGCCAAUGGACAACCAACCGAAUAAGACAUGUACAAGCUCUGAACAUGCCACCUAGAACAAUCCCAUAGCAGCCUCCCAAGUAGGGAUGGAUUUUUGAAGUACUUUAGUCAGAAAACAGAAGGCAAAAAAAAGGAAUAUAUCUAGCUCAUCCUACCCUCUAGAUUCAGCACAAGUGAUGGUAUCCAUGCGAGACCACAAAACAAACAGAAAGAAAGUCAAACUCAGCAAGCAGAGAGAUGGAAAGCAGCAAAUUAGAUGGUUCGAUAGUAAAGGUUCUGAGGCACCAAGUGCGGCAACCAGCUUAGGAACACAACAUCCCAGGAGUCCAACAGGCCAUCACAGGCCACUACUACAUACUACUAGUACUAGAUAACCAAGCGCAUCGCCAAAAGUUGGAACGCGCAAGUGCGGCUGGCUGGCUGGCUCAGCAGAAGAACAUGCUGCUGCGGACUUUCUCAUGGAGGCGAGGCAGCUCCUGCACUGGAGCGCUGCCGGCAGAGGUGUGGCCACCUCCCUGGCUCGACGACGUCUCGGACAUCUCAUCAAACUUUAUGAACUGCGCCACCUGAGCAGCCGCAAGAUGUGCAUAGCAGAUUGGAG